rnacentral:lncRNA from 1 species
UUUUUUCUUCUGUUUUGUUUUAUUUAAUAUCUUUUGCCAUUGUUUUUGAAUUUUAAACAAAUUCAAACAAUGCCAAAAACUCCUCUGAAUAAUUUUAUUUGGCUAGAUGGACUUUUCCAAAAGCUCAUAAAAUAUUUCAGGGGUAUUUGAAAUUAUAUUCUAAUUAUAUGAAUAUAAUUCAAAUUCAAAUAGCUAAUGAUUUAAAUUCAAAGUCCCAAAAAUAAAUCCUUAAAAAUGUUCAAUAUUUUGGUUGGGACCAGAACCCUUGCCAAAAAUUAUCAAACAUUUAAGAAGAACAUUUUGGAACAAUGAAUGAGAUUUUAGGGUUUUUGCCCUUCUUUUAUUUAGGAUUUUGAGGCUUCCAAUCUCCCUCAGUUCAAGUUUCAAAAUUUAAACAUGAUGCAGACACCAAGCAGCACCAGAAGCUAGGGGUGUGACACAACGGGCUUCAAACCUAGGCAUCAUCUUUUUCCCUGAAUAUUGCCCCUUUCCUUGUGCGCCUUGUGAUGACUGGGCGGUGGUCUGAGUGACGGGGGUCGCCAUUGACAAUAGUGACAGCCGGAAAAUGUUGCCUCCAAUCAUGUGAGGCUACUGCACUAUCCAGCCUCUCACAGAUAUAUUUGGUUGCAUCAUGGUUGUGGUUAUGCUAGGUGAACACGUCUCCCUUAAACCCGAGGUCAUUCAGUUCACAUUCUUCAAGGGUCAUCUUAAACUUUUCCAUGCAUGAUUGUGCCCGAGGUUGGCCUCCUUCCCUUUCCCAAGAGUACAGGAUCUCAUUGAAAUCACCGGCACAAAGCCAUGCUUUAUCAUUUUGAUGUUUCAGUGUACGAAGCAACUUCCAUGUUUUAUCCUUUUUCCUCCAUUUUAGGCUCACCAUAGACUCGAGUAAACCACCAAACUAAUCCAUCCUCCUCCGUAAUUUCAGUGUCAAUAUGAUAUUGUGAUACAAAUCCAAUUAGUUUCACCACCACCUCUCUCUUCUAGAAUAAAGCUAAUCCUCCUCCUCCACCACAAUCUUUAACAAUCAUAUGUGGCAUACCAAGUUUCCAUCUCAACCACUCCAUUCUGUCCCGUACCAUCCUCGUUUCCGACAAGAAAAGUACGUCGGGGUCCUUCUCCCGGAUGUCCAGGAGACCACGAAUCGCCAGGACGUUCUCCAAUCCCCGGCAAUUCCAUGUUAUUAGCUUCACUGGGCCUCGCAUGACUGCUCCGGCAGCCCCGCUUCAGUUGAAGUUUUAGUAGCAUUGUUAUCCUUCUCUGUCUCCUCCCCACCCUCGGUGCAGACCUUCUUUGGUGUAUUUGCAUCAUCCACUUCCAUUUCGUCACCACACCUCUUCCCCAUUGCAAUACCCAACGCAAUCUGGGCGUCCCCAUGUUCCUCCCUCCUCUUUCUCCUGUACCUCUUCCCUUCUCUCUCCUUUCCACUGUUGCUCUUAUUCUUUUCUUUGGCCACUUCCUCUGGGAAUUUACCAUGCUUCUCCUUUUCAAAAAAAAUUAUACCAGGCUUCUUCCUUUCAUCUCCCUAGUUCUCCACAUCCCUUGUUUUGUCAUCCAUGAGCAUACUGCUUCUGCCAAGGUCUUGCUUCUCAGACGCUCUAUUCUCAUUUUCAAAGCACAGUUUCUUGCCCAUUUUUUCAUAUCCCUUCUUACCUUCACCGCUUCCUAAUUUUAGUGGGCUUGUGACCUCCCCCUCCUCGCCACCUGCACUGUCUUUGCCACUGUUCCUGGAGUCUGAACUAUUUCUGCGCCAACUCUGUCCAUCGCUACCAGACUGGUCGUUCCCCCUUCCAAAAUUGUAGCCUCUACGAUCAUACAGAUUAGUCAGGGCCCCCCUUCCCCUACUCCCUCUACUUGCCCCGCUGCCUCUAUUAUCCAACCAUUUGUUCCUACCUUACUCCCCCCCCUCUUGUUCCUUCCUCCACUCUAAGCCAAGGGCCGAACUGCGGCGCCUCACCUCUUAUUGGUUUCAUAGAACAGUCCUUCUCACUAUGUCCCACGAUUCCACACGUAUAGCAGAAGUCCGGCAUAUGCUCGUAUUCAAAUCUUCACCAGAGAAGGGGCUUAUUUUUCUUACCAACCACACUGGCAUUCGUCUCUGUCUCUCUCCUCUCAUUCUCCUUUUCCCUCUCCAGCAAAAAAAACCUCAUCAGCGGUUUGGUAAUAUCAAGUUUCACCUUCACACGUAAGAACUUGCCCACUAGUUUCCCAUCACAUGCCCCACAUCAACAUCCAGGACUUCGUGAAAGUCUUGACCUAUCAUCUCUCCCAUUGCCCUAUUCAUGGAACCCAGCGGGAGGCCGAAGACCCGCAGCCACAUCGGGAUCAGAUUGAAAUCAUACUACUCCACGGUUUUGUCCGGAUCAAAUUCCUCCAUCACUAGCAGUUCUUUGUCAAACCACCAUGGACCAUCUUCCAAAGCCCUCCUCCAACCUGAAGCAUGCCUGAACGUGAACAAAAAGACAUUUUCUAUUAGCUCCGUGCAAUCUACUCCCUUGAUCGGGCACCAGAUCUUCCCCAAGGUAUUGCCUACGACAUUGGCACGCGUCGGUUUCUCCGAAAAAAGUUUCCCCACUGCAUGUGGGUCGUCCGGUGCCCACUCGCAGGUUUUCCCCUUCUGCUCCAGCCCGAUUUUGAUGCCUUUCAUCUCCGCUUCCAACAACUUCAGACCUUUCAUCAAUCCUUCCACAUUCUCCAUGGUUGCUGCCCACCCUCGACUGACUAGACUUGAUCUAGGGUUUUUGGUGUUUGUACGACCAUGCGCUCCAGAACCGCACAGAAGGCCUAUGUGGAUGGUUUACGGGAUACUUGAUGUGUGUGUGGGAUCUGUAGGGUUGGUGAACUCGGUUAGGGACCAAAGAGGAGCAACACCGAGAGAACCAGGCGCCGGCGGCGAGGGCCGAAGACGAGAACAAGGCAGAUCGAGAUCGGAUCGCCUCACGAUCACCACUCCAUAAAUUACGCUAACCGUCACCCGUGGGACGGACUGUGCCAGCCAGCAUUGGCUUGCUAAGACACUUCAGAUUUUAAAAUAGUUUGUUAAGUAGACCCGUUCUUCCUGUCGAUUUUUUUUGAAACAAGGCAAAAGAUUUGCCAUUUCAUUGAUUAAGAAAGGAGUUAUCGAACAAGGGCCGCAAGGCAGCAAAAUAAAGUGUCUACUCUCGCGGCAUUACAGCACUCAUGUGUUUUGCACCCGCCACUGCCCAAAGAGACACCUCCUCUUUGAUCUUACAGAUUAGGACCAUGGAAGGGAUGGCUGUGUUUCGGAAGACCCUAGCGUUACGCUCUGUCCAUAUCUCCCAUGAGAUAAGCAUCAUCAAGGAGGAAAGCGCCUUAGGGGAGCCAAGGCGAAUCUGAAGGUUGCUGUUCCACCAGUCUUUCACCGAAGUCCUCGUCUGCCAUAUCGUCGUAGAAAUGUGGUGCAUGCCAAGCCACGUAAGAAUAUGGUUCCAAAUGCGGAUGGUGAAGCGGCAUUGUAAGAGGAGGUGGACCGCUGACUCCUGGCAUUGCUUACAAAGUGGGCAGAGGCCACAGUUUGGCCAUCCGCGACAUAUGAGACGAUCCGAUGUCCAAAUCCUGUUUUGAAGGACUAACCAAGCAAAGAACUUGCACCGAGGGGUGGCCCAAACCCUCCACACAGAGUGAACGAGAUCGGACGAUGUGAGACCCUCAAAUUGUGCCUUGUAAGCAGACGAAGCAGAGUACACCCCAUCCUUGGUGAACUUCUAGGUGAUGGAAUCUUCUAUGCCAUCAUUCAGAGAGAUCAUGGAUAUCUUCUCCCAGAGGUCGGCAAACUGUUGGACGUGUGCAAACGAUAGGCCAUUGGAGGUGUCAAUGAGGGAGAUCCAGCUGUUGUUGGUGAGGGCUUGCUGGACGGAGGAAUUCUUCUUGCGGGAGAUGGCAAAAAUGUUCAGCCCUAAGUCACAGGGGCAGAGACCAUGCAACCAAGGGGAGUGCCAGAAUCUGGCCGUGCGCCCAUCUCCCACAAUCACCACUGUGGCAGCCGCAGAAAAUUUGCGGUCGUCCUCGGUGCAUGGAGACCCCAUGCCAACCCAAGGCUUGCUUUUGUCCACCCACUCAAACCAUAGCCAUCAAAGUCGGAGGGCCUUAGCGAAUUUGUUCAAAUUAAGCACACCCAAGCCACCAAACUGUUUAGGCUUGCAGGCGAGGUCCCAAUUGAUCUUGCAUGACCCUCCCGAGACUUUGUCGGUACCCUCCCAAAGGUAAGCACGCCGAAGUGGGUCAAUUACGUUAAGGAUCUCCACGGGGAUGUCGAGAGACGUGAGAUGAUAAAUUGCAAUGGCCGUGAGGACCACCUUUACAAGCACCACACGCCCAGCAGUAGCGACGUGUCUUUCCUGCCAUGGUGGGAGCUUGCAUGCGACCUUGUCCACAAGGUGUUGAAGAUGAAUGCUCUUGAGGCGCUUGACCGAUAGCGGAAGGCCAAGGUACCGCAUCGGGAAUGCCGUGCGCACCGCCGGGAAGGCCUCGAGAAUGUCAUCCAAAUUUAUGUUGUCGCAGCGAAUAGGAGCCACCAAACUUUUGGUACAGUUAGUAUGCAGGCCGGUCACCUCUCCAAAAGCAGCCAAGGAGGAAGCAAGGAAUUGGACGUCACCCCUGGUGGGUUUGACAAAGAUGGCAGCAUCGUCUGCGUGCAAGGACGUCCUGAUGGUCGGGGCACUUCCGCAGAUGGGUUGAAGAUGUCCUUGUGCAGUGGCCUUGUUGAGGAGGUGGUGCAGGGGGUCGAUUGCCAGGACAAAGAGCAGCGGGGAUAAAGAAUCACCCAACCGGAGGCCACAUCCGUGUUUCAUCGGAUCACCCACCACCCCAUUGACAAGAACCCUCGAGGUGGCAGUGGAGAGUAGUGCCGAAACCCAAUCGCGAAAUCUAGACGGGAAUCCCAGGUGCCUCAAGAGGUCCAUAAGGAAGUCCCAUCUAACUGAGUCAAAAGCCUUCUUGAUGUCAAGCUUGAACAACAGGGUGGGUGUACGAUUUCUGUGAAGUUUCCUCGCCAAGUUUCUGACAUACAUGAAAUUAUCGUGAAUGCUUCUCUUCUUUAUGAAGGCGCUUUGCGCACUGGAGACAAGGUUGUCCAUAUGGGGAGCUAGGCGUGUAGCCAACACCUUUGUUAGGAUCUUCGCAAUGGCGUGAAUGAGGCUAAUGGGGCGAAAGUCCGAGAUGCAUUCCGCUCCAUCUUUCUUUGGUAUGAGAGCAAUGUUGGCCGAGUUGAGCCAAUGAAGAUUGGAUGUGUGCAAGUUUGAGAAGUGGUUCACAGCAAUCAUAAUGUCAUCCUUGAUAAUCUCCCAACACUCUUUGAAGAAAGCUCCAGAGAAGCCAUCGGGCCCUGGCGCUUUGUCACGGGGAAGGUCAAAAAUUGUCUUCCUAACCUCCUCCUCCGUAAAGGCCGCCCCAAGAUCUGAAAGGUCACUUGCAGGCACCGGAAUGUUGUCCCAGUUGAUGUCUUGAUGGUGUGGCGGGCCACGCUUGGAGACCUCGGCAAAGUGUUUUGGAUGACGGACUUUUUGUGAUCAUGGUCCACCACCCAGCCAUUGUUGUGCUUCAGACGGUGAAUGAAGUUCUUUCUUCUUCGGUGAUUGACCCGCAGGUGAAAGAAACGAGUGUUGGCAUCAUCCUCUUUGAGGCUGAUGAUUCUUGAAUUCUGUCUCUUUCGGGCACGCUCCAUCACAGCCAGGGCAAUAAUCUUUCUUUUGAGCCUCCUACGAAUGUCACGCUCCUCCACACUGAGAGGCCUGAGCUCUUGUGCCACAUCUAGGCGGAGAAUGACCUCCAGAGCCAUGAACAGCUGCACGUGUCGAUUUUUCAGCUCUAGCUGAUUUUCCUUGCUUUGUUUCUUGGGCGAGGGGUGGUAUUCAACACGACAUUUCCGGACUGUGACAUGAAUUGCCCGUGCGCAGAUAAAUGUUCAAUAAUGUAUCGCUCCAUACGAUACGAUGCAUGGGCCUGUAGCGAUCUUAGGUAGUACCAGUGAUAUAACUCGACGUGCAGCAAUCUUGGAAGCUUGCUGCCAUGGCAUGGCCACGUGACAUGGCAUGGCAGGGCAUUUCAUCUCCACACGUGCCUAUGGCAGCGCAGCACGUUGCCUUGUCACCAGGCAUAAAUGAAAUAUAAAUGAUCCCCACGAGAUGCGUAAGUGUACGUUUUAAUUGAUUGACGUCGUAAAUCAAAGUGCAAAAUCGGCGAAAGUUUUUGCACGAUUUCGCCAUUCCAAACGGCUGGCCAGCCUUCUUCUGGCCCAGUGUGAAUGUCUCUGUCUAUGUGUCGGCGUCUCCCCAAUGGCAGUCACUUGUGUCGAUCUCACGACAACUGUCACCCACAAAGUAGACUUGUGUGAGCUGUUUUACUGGAGUAUAUGAAGCUACGAGAGCAACGUUUUGCGUCCAUCCAAUACGUAUGGUACCAAAUCAACCAGUUCACUUGGAACCCAAGCAAGUCUGGACUCUUUGAACUUCUGAAGCAAUCGCUUUCCUGCCUAUAGCUGAACAUCCAUCGUCCGAAAGUGACCACAGCCCAACUCUACGGUGGACCAAACCAAAACCAAACCAAACCGAACGUGCACCGGGGGUACGUACUAUCUCUGUUCAAUAAUGUUAGGCAUAUGUUUCGACGUGUUUGUCGGUUUAAACACAAGUGUCACCCUAGGCCUCAGCGGUUUCGAUUAAUUUUUUGCUCGUCUUUUUGGAGAAAUUUACGAGCUUAUAUGUUUUUUUCUAGAAGUAACAAUUGACUAUGUGUAUUGUGAAAGGUUGGUCCAAGAGACGAACAGAACUAUCUGAAUCUGAACAUUGAGCUGUCGUUCCCUGUUACAGGCUCACAGCUUCCUCGGUUACUCCUGCAUUGUUACAAAUUGUUGCCAUCUGUGAUAAUAGUAAAAGACGUAGCUUCUGCUUAAGAUUCUUCACAUAAAUAUGCAUUGCAGUAUUUUGAGCAGGCCGAUCUGAGCAUGCACGCAUGCAUACAUUGGAUUGGUUCGGACAAUGUGUUGUCACUGUUUCUGAGCAGUGCUGUCUGGUAUGCGUACGAACUGAGAGUUACUUCUGCCUCAUGUUGGAUCCGUAUAUAAAGUAGGUCGGGUCCAACCAUCGUAGGAUUGAAUAGAUCGAAGAACAAGCUUUGCAUAAUUGCUGGAAUACCCUAGUGGUGGUAGCUAUUAUAGCAAGGUUCGGAUCUGAGGCUGAGAUGAAUGGAAACAACGUCAUUUACCAUGAGAGUCAAAUGAAAUGUUCCAAAAGAUGCAAUCAGUUCCUCAGUUACGAGACUGCACGCCAUAUUAGGCUAGUGUCUAUUAUAUUUCUCUGACUUGUUACAGUUAGUGGCUACUUCAUAUAUGUCACUUGGUUGAAACAUGUUGGAAGUGAUCUUAGGAGUACCAUCUACCAAGCUAUUUCUGUUGUUUACUACUCCCAACAUGCUAGAUACAUCCGUUUUAGUGAAAACUAAUAUAAAACAGAGGGAGUAGCUUAGUGACAAUUAAUAUAGAACGGAGGAUGUAUAUCAAGCUAAUGCAACUAUGAACCAACACCUAGCCGGAGAACAAAUAUUCCUCAGCUACGUGAAUCUUCAAUAGUUGGCCUUUUGUACUAAUAUAUAGAUACCGGCAUUUAGCUCUUAUUACCUGGACGGUAAGCUGGUAGUGCACAAUCACAUGGACUUAUGAUCAGACUUGAGCUCUCACCUUACAGAAAGAAAACUUUGACAGAGAGAGGUGGCCUGUCUUAAUCCGAGCACAUUCUCCCCUCCUCCUCACAAAAUAUUCAUAUAUUUUGGGAUUGAUUUGUUGGUGACUGCCUACUUCUUAGUUGACCUUUGCUACUACACACUAUAUAUACCAAAAAUUACCAAGUGUCGCUGGAAGGGAGGGAGGGGUAACAUAUCGGCCUGCCCAACGUGUUCCUAAAUAUCGUGUCAUUGCAGAGGCUGGGUGCAAUUGGUAUCAUAUUGGUAUAUUAUCUUCUUUCUAAAGAAAGAUAUUACUCUUCAUCAAGAAAAUACCAGCAUUUAGCUCUUAAUAUCUGAAGAUAAAGCUGGUAGGACGUGGUCACAUGGGCUUAUCAAAAUUGACCUCUCACCGAAAGAAAGAAAUUUUGAUAGAGAGGUGGUCUGUCUUAAUCCCAGCACAUUCUUCCCUCCCACCUCACAAAAUAUCCUUCUAGAGUAGUAGUAUUUUUGUUCAUUUGUCGUUGAUUGCCUGCCUCUCUAGUCCAGGUAACAUUAGUCUACUUUUUCCUGCACAUAUGCCCCUGCUCUAAAUUUUUUUUUGAACAAUCACCGGGCGGGAGAGGAUCCCCACCUGUAUAUAUUACUCAAAAGGCUCAGGGGGCAAGUUACAUCACGGGUUACAAUGAGAGGAUAGGUAUAGGCGCCAAGACACGGCAGCCUCCCUACUGACGGGGUCCUUAAACCUAAAGGCCCAAAGCGUGAAAUCCGAGAUAAUGUUCCGAAGAGUAUCUAGGGGUGUGUGUUGUUUAUUGCGAAAGACACGAGCAUUCCUGGAAUCCCACAGUUUCCAUAGAAUGGCGAGGGCGACGGUGGGCCAAAUGUUGAUGUCGAGGCCGACCGGUGUUGUAGUAUCCCAAAGAAGGUUGAUGGAGUGAGGCUGCUGCAGCCCCAAGAGGGACCAUACCUGUAUCGCGCAUGGGCAAAGAAUGGCGACGUGCGCGGUGUCCUCAUGGGUGAGUGCGCACCGUGGGCAAACCGAGUCAGAUGUGAUGGUCUUCCGGUGCAAGUUCGCCAUCAUGCUCAACCUGUCACGAGAGAGAAGCCAGCCGAAGAUCUUGACCUUGAUAGGUGCCUUGGAGCUCCAGAUGUACCCUGCGUUGAGAUCGAACUCAUGGUCGGAGGAGAACAACGAGUAGGCGCACCUCGAGGAGAAGGAGGAUCCGUGGUUGAGGAACCUGUCGCCGGGCGCGUCGUUGGUGGCAACAUCCUGCAACAGAGACAAAAUAGACGCAAGCUCUACAGAAGCAACAUUUGUUAGGCGGUUCCACAGAAUAGCGAGUAAACCAUUAUGCAUGACAUGUGAUACCAGGACUGAGGAUGAGGUGGAGUGGGAGAAGAGGUGUGGGUAGGUGUCUGCUAGUGGGGUCGGAAGAAGCCAAGCGUCCAGCCAGAAGAAAGUGGAUAUGCCAUUGUUGGUGAGGACAAAGGAGAUAUCGCGGAGGGGGCGAAGUUGUUUGUUUACGAUUUUCCAAAGAUAGGAGGGGUUGUGAGGUUUAUUUUACUUUUUACUUUUGGUGAUACUCACCAUGUCAGUUAGUACUGAUACUGAACGUUGUGUUGGAGUUCAGUUCAUGCAUUUGGCUUUGAUGCAGAAAAUUGUACUACCUAGUGUUGAUGUAUCGGUGACACUCGGGGCCCAUGUGCUGAAAUGGCCUAUAAUAUGACGUGGCAAGUACGUGGAUGGAAUCUGAGUGUUGAAUGUCAACCGAAAUCCUCUUGACCCUCUCACGUAGGAUUGACCAGGGCGUGCUCUAGGCACGACCCCCACUAACCUGGCGCACGUCGCCCAUGUAACCUGCGCUAUGCAUGCGCCUGUAACACUAUAUACUGGUGAUCAACACGACGGGAGCACCCAAGGUGCCAUUUUCCAAUCCUCUACUUGCUCACAUGGUAUCAGAGGCCGGUUCCCUCCUUCAGCUGUAACCCUCCAUCUUCCGCUGCCCAACCCCUACCCGCACCUUGCCAUGGCGGCUCCAUCCCCGCCGCCUCCACCUCCUCCCCCCCUCCCCGUCCCAGCCAUGCUGCUUCUAGCACUUCCCCAGUGACGCCGGCUCGCUCUCAGCCACCGCUGAUCACACCCGUUGCCCUCGCGCGCGGCGGACCUCUCUACCUGCCCGAUCCCGCCGCGGCGGCUCCCUACGGCUCCCCUCUCGCCGGCGUCUACAUCAACCAGCAUGUGCCGAUCGUCCUCAGCCUCAACCCUCCGAACUUCUCGCAGUGGCGGACCCUGUUUGUGGUUAUGUUCCAGAAGAGCGGCGUCGUCUCUCACAUCACCAGCGCGGCUCAUCCCGACGAUGCCGCCUGGGUUCAAGACGACGCGCACAUCCUCUUGGCUGUACACGCGCGUGAGCCUGGAGAUAUUCCGCCUCGUUCAUCAGCGCGGCGCUACGGCCGCCGAGGUCUGGGCCGCCAUCAUCUCGUUGUUCAUGGAGAACGCCGAGCACCAGGUGGUCUUUCUCGCCAUGGAGUUCCGGCGCAUCGAGUAGGGCGGGUCGUCCAUCAUCGACUACUUCGGCCACCUGAAGGAGUGCGCGGAUCGCCUCGCUGACCUGGGGCAGACGAUGCAGGACCGCGACCAGGUUCUUAACAUGUUUCGCGGCCUCCACCCUCGUCUUCGCUACGCCAUCCCCAUUCUCACAAUGCAGACGCCGUUCCCCUCAUUCCUUCGCUGUCGCGCCUUCCUCCUCCUGGAAGAGAGACGGCAGUCCAGCGAUGCUGCCACCUCCGAGAUCGCACUCCACGUCGCCCACGCGCCCACUCCUUCGAGCACAGGCGGUGGCGGCAACCGUCGCGCUUCCGGCGCCAACAACUCAGGCGGGGGCGCAACUGUGGCAAGGGGAAGGUUGUGGACCACUCCGGCAGUUCCCAGCACGGCGGGGCUUCCUCCUCACGCCCGCCGGCGCCACCACCCACGACCACCACUCCCUGGACCGGCAUGGUGCAUGCCUGGCCCAUGCCCUGGCGGCCGCAUGCUCCCAGCGCUGGUGUGCUUGGUCCUCGGCCAGGCGCUUCCGUCCCGUUCGCCGGUGCCACCACGCACUACUACAGCGCGCCGCACCCCGCCUCUGCGAGUGCUCCGGCGGCGUCGUGGCAUGCCGGCGCUGUGCCACCUCACCCGCUGUUCGUCAUGCCAUCUAGCUCCAGUGCCGGACCCUCUACUCCAGCGUGGGACCAGUCUGCCCUAGUGCAGGCACUCAACAACAUGCAUGCCCAGCAGCAGCAGCUCACGCCGCCGCUUGCGGAUUGGUACCUGGAUACUAGAGCCUCUACGCACAUGGCCGGGUCGUCUGGUAUGCUAUCGUCCUCCCAACCCUACAACUCUUCUGGCAUUAUUGUUGGCGAUGGUAGCUCGCUUGUGGUAACACAUUUCGGCCGUGCCUCCAUUACCACUACCUCCACUCCCCUCUCUCUAACCGACUUCCUAGUCUCUCCACAUCUUAUCCAUAAUCUCAUCUCCGUUAAGAAACUAGCUCAUAAUAAUCCUGUUAAUGUAGAGUUUGAUGACUUUGGUUUUUCUGUCAAGGAUCGAAAGACGAAGCGGGUGAUCCUCCGAUGUAACUCUGUCGACGAUGAACUCUACCCCGUGUCCGCGCCACCUCCUCACCAUGCACUAGCCGCGGUCACCACAGACAACUGGCAUCAACGCCUCGGGCACCCCGGCCGCGACACCCUCUCCGGCGUGCUGCGUUCCUCCUCCAUCACCACCCGUGACGCUCAGUCGCCUAUCUGUCAAGCAUGUCAACUAGGAAAGCAUGUUAGAUUUCCUUUUGGUAGUUCGGAUCAUGUGUCAUAUUUUCCCUUUCAACUUGUCCAUUGUGAUGUCUGGACAUCUCCUGUAAUCAGUUUAUCAGGCUAUCAAUAUUACCUUGUGCUCUUAGAUGAUUACAGUCACUUUGCGUGGACAUUUCCCCUCCGACACAAAUCUGACUUUUUCCCCACACUUAAACACUUCCAUGCGUUCAUCCGCUGUCAAUUCAACCUCAACCUACUAACCAUCCAGAGCAACAACUGGCGUGAGUUCGACAAUGGACCUGCCCGUGCCUUCUUCGCUUCAGUGGGCAUCCAACUACGCAUGUCCUGCCCCUACACUUCACCUCAGAACGGGGGGGCCGAGCGCAUACUUCGCACCCUCAACGACAUCACCCGCUCUCUUCUCACUCAUGCGUCUAUGCCGUACUCGUUCCAGGUCGAGGCACUUAACACAACCACUUUCUUGCUCAACUGCCGCCCGUGCAGUGCUCGCCAUAGCUACACACCUUUCUACCUCCUCUACGGCGUCCACCCUGAGUAUUCCACCAUGCGCGUGUUCGGCUGCCUAUGUUACCCUAACCUCACCGCCACCAGCCCUCACAAGCUCGCCCCACGCUCUCAUCCGUGUGUGUUCCUCGGCUACUCGCUGGACCACAAAGGGUACCGCUGCCUCAACUGUGACACCGGCCGGGUCAUCAUCUCCCGGCAUGUGGUUUUCGAUGAGCGCACCUUCCCCUUCGCAUCACCCCACGCUGGCGACCACCCACCGCCGGAAGAAGAGCACCACCAUCACCCUACCACCACCACUCCCGCCCCACGUCGGGCCACCCACCCUAUCGCUGCCAACCCCAACCCCACAACCACCCAGUCUGCUGUGGUCGCUACCCCAGCCGACGCCAUGACAGCACCCUCACCACGCCAACCGGCGUCCCCCGCCGCCUCCCCUCACCCCGCUCCGGUUGCGGCUGCAGCACCCGUUCCCCCUCCUCCCACACCUUCCCCUCCACGCCACGACCGUCCGCUUGUCCCAACCCACACCAUGGUUACCUGCGGCCAACUUGGCAAAUUCAAACCAAACCCUAAGUACGCUGAUGCCAAUCUAGCUACCACGUCCACAUCCUCUGUCUCCCCGGUUCCCAAGUCUGUGCAUGCCGCAUUGCGAGAUCCCCAUUGGCUAACAGCAAUGCAGGAGGAGUACAGGGCUCUCAUGACGAACCAGACAUGGAAGCUCGUGCUGCGGCCCGUCGGCGCCAACAUUAUCACCGGAAAGUGGCUCUUCCGCCAUAAAUUCAAGGCGGACGGAUCCCUGGAGCGGUAGAAGGCACGCUAGGUCAUGCGCGGCUUCUCCCAGCGCCCCGGUGUGGACUUCGACGAGACGUUUUCGCCGGUGGUCAAGUCCGCCACGAUCCGAGCCGUGCUCUCCAUUGCUGCUGCUCGGGACUGGCUCGUCCAUCAAAUGGACGUGAACAACGCUUUUCUUCAAGACUUCCUCACCGAGCGGGUCUACUGCCAACAGCCAGCUGGUUUUGUCGAUGAUCGCCACCCCAACCAUGUGUGCCUCCUCGACAGGUCGUUGUAUGGUCUGAAGCAGGCGCCGCGGGCCUGGUUCGACUGCUUCGCCACCUUCCUCCGCACCAUCGGCUUCACGGCGGCGCGCUCGGACCCCUCCUUGUUCGUUCUUCAUCGUGGCACGGAGGUGGCGUACUUGUUGUUGUACGUUGACGACAUCGUCCUCACCGCCUCCUCGCCGCGCCUGCUCCAACAUCUUCAGCGGCAGCUCCUCUCCGAGUUCUCCAUGAAGGACUUGGGCCCGCUGCAGUUCUUCUUGGGCAUCCACGUCACGCGCGACAAGGACGGCUUCUUCCUCUCGCAGGCCAAGUAUGCCGACGAGCUCUUAGACAGGGCGAACAUGUCUGCAUGCAAGCCGGUGAACACGCCGGUUGAUACUCGCAGCAAGCUCUCCAGCGACGCCGGGCCGCCUGUCGAUGAUCCCUCCGACUACCGCAGCAUUGUGGGGGCACUUCAGUACCUGACCAUGACAAGGCCUGACCUGUCCUACGCGGUGUAGCAAGCCUGUCUGUCGAUGCACGACCCGCGUGCCUAGCACCUUGCACUGGUGAAGCGCAUACUGCGCUACGUUUGCGGCUUGUCGACACACGGACUUCACAUUCGUCGCUCAUCCUCCCUCGACCUCGUCGCCUACUCCGACGCUGACUGGGUUGGCUGCCCGAACACGCGCCGCUCGACGUCCGGCUAUGCUGUCUUCCUCGGCGACUCACUCAUCUCCUGGUCGUCGAAACGGCAGCCCACCGUCUCCAGGUUCAGUGCGGAGGUGGAGUACCGUGCGUUCGUCAACGCCACCUCCGAGUGCUGCUGGCUUCGUCAACUUCUCGGCGAGCUUCACGUGCCUGUCCCCAAAGCCACUGUGAUGUACUGCGACAACAUCUCCUCCGUGUACAUUACGGCCAACCCAGUUCAUCAUCGACGCACGAAGCACAUCGAGCUCGACAUCCACUUCAUGCGCGAGAAGGUGGCUCUCGGACAGCUGUGUGUUCUCCACGUCCCGAUGACGCAGUAGUUCCCUGACGUGAUGACCAAAGGCCUCCCGUCUCCUGCAUUUCAAGAGUUUCGGUCCAGCGUGUGCAUCCGCCCUCCGGACGCUCAAACUGCGGCGGGGUGUCAACCGAAACCCUCUUGACCCUCUCACGUAGGAUUGACCAGGGCGUGCUAUAGGCACGACCCCCACUAACCUGGGGCACGUCACCCAUGUAACCUGCGUUAUGCAUGCGCCUGUAAUACUAUAUACUGGUGAUCAACACGACGGGAGCACCCAAGGUGCCAUUUCCCAAUCCUCUACUUGCUCACACUGAAGGACAUGUCCAUUGUUGCACCUUGUUCAUGAUGAUGAACUUGAUGCGCAUGCACGGUGGCCACCGGCUUUCUGGAUAGUGUAAUUGGUUUGUCAAGCCCAAACCAUGCAAAUUGAAAAUAGGAAGGUUUUUUUAUUUUUUUAUUUUUUAGAACAUAGACGUCAGGGACGUCUGGCUUUAAAUUAAUAAAGCCCACAAACUUAGGCAGAGUAUCACAACCACAGGACCAAUAAAAGGCGCCUAAAGAGGCGAUAGUUAAAGGGAAAGACCGCUAGAUGAGCUAAGAGUUGCGGUACAAGGCAAAAACAGCCCAAACGACGAGCACGUAGGCUCCGAAGGUACGAGGACCAAAAGGGACUGCCCAAACCUAUGCGGCAGCCAACUGAUCAGACGGCGAAGCCCGAGACUCGGAGUAGACGGCGAAGCCCGAGACUCGGAGUAGACGGCGCUAAGACAGCAGAUAGCUUGGCGGUGGAGAUCAGCGUCCUGUUGUCUUCCCAGCGGGGCCCAUUGCUGCAAGAACAUGAUGCAUUUGAAGAUGACGUCAGCGGGAUGCAAGGGAAACACACCCUUGAUAGUAAACUUGUUACGGAUAUUCCAAAUAGCCCAUAGUAUAGCCGCCGCAUAAGUCCACAUGACCCUACGAGAUGUGCCUUAAACCAGAGAUAAGGAAGACACGAGCUCAGAUCGGGAGCGUGGAUCCCAAUCCACUUCCGCGGCCGCACGGACCGUGCUCUAGGCAAAACGAGCCAGAGAGCACAGGAAGAAAGCAUGGUCAGCAUCUUCCGGGACCCCACACAGUGCACAAGGCCGGAGGCGGGGCCAUUGCGUUUCGUGAUGUUAAUAGAGGUAGGAAGGCGAUCUUGGCAGAGUUGCCAGAGGAAGACCUUGAUUUUGAGCGGGAUUUUAGCCUUCCAAAGCCCCGUGGCCGCCGACGAGAUCUAGCCGCGGGAAAGCUCUCUGUACAGGGAGUUGACAGAGAAUUUGCCAGAGCUCGUGAGCCUCCACAAGAUCGAAUCCGCGGAAUCCGACAAUCGGACGUCCGCAAGCAGUGCCUGAAGGCGAUCCCAAUCCGCCAACUCCGGCCCUGUUAACUCGCGCCUGAAGUUAAUGCAGGGGGGAGGCGCGGAGAGCCGAGGCAACCCAUUGCUCGGCCUCGACCGCUAUGGAAAAGAGUUGGCGAAGCUCCUCCCAUAAGGGUCGUUGGCCAAUCCAAAGAUCAAGCCAGAGACGCGUAGAGCGUCCAUUGUUAACCGCAAACUUUGCACCCCUGGCAAAGAAGGGUUUGAGGGAUUGAAUGGAGUUCCAGAAAGGAGACCCAUGGGGAGCCGCGUCAAAAAAAUACCCAUGCGGGAAAUAUUUUGCACGGAGGAGGUCGAUCCAGAGGCCAGUCUCGCCCUGAGUCAUUUUCCAGAUCCACUUGCACAUUAGUGCGAUGUUCGUCAACUUGGAGUUGAUGAUCCCAAGACCCCCCUGGGCUUUGGGACGACACACGGCCUGCCAUUUAACCAUAUGGUAUUUCCGUUUUGGUCCCGCUCCUUCCCAAAAGAAACGAGACCGCGGUGUGUCAAACUUAGAGUGUACCCCAUCCGCCAGCAAGAACAGGCCCAUGGCAAACAUGGGCAAAGAAGAGAGGCUAGAGUUGGUUAGGAUUAGUCUUGCCCCUGAAGACAUAAAACGUCCCCUCCACGGGCAAACCCUAUUCGCAACCUUGGAGGAGAGGGGUUCCCAGUCGGAGAUUUUACACUUCUUCGCCGCAAUGGGAAGACCGAGAUAUGUAAACGGGAACUGGCCAAGUUUGCAGUUAAGCAAGUUGGCGACCCAUUGACUUUCGGUCGCGUCCAUCCCUAUGGACACCACUUCACUUUUGUGGAAGUUUAUUUUAAGCCCCGACAUGAGUUCAAAGCACAGCAUUAUAGCCUUGACCGAAGCGAUACUGUGUGUAUCUGGCUCGAAUAGGAGAAGUGUGUCGUCCGCGUAUUGCAAGUGAUACACUCCUCCCGGGAUUAGGUUGUCCACCACUCCCCUGAUGUGGCCGGCCAGACGAGCUCUGUCUAGCAUGGCGCCUAAGGCGUCCGCCACAAAGUUAAAAAGCAACAGCGAGGCUGGGUCCCCUUGACGCAGCCCGCGCUUGUUGCGGAAGAAGUUCCCUACUUCUCCAUUCACCGCAAUCGCCGUCUAGCCUCCCGAGACCAACUGCAUCAUGUGGUGAACCCAAACCGAUGAGAAUCCUCGAUCCAGGAGGACUUGUUGGAGAAACUCCCAGUUCAGACGGUCGUACGCCUUCUCAAAGUCAAGUUUGAGGAGAAUCGCGGGUCGUCGAGCACGUUUUAGGGAGUGGAUUAUUUCUUGAAGGACCAACGGCCCCUCCAAGAUGUUACGGCCACGAAUGAAAGCCGACUGGGUUCUACUAAUAAGGCGAUGGGCUAUCGGAGACAUGCGAGUAGAACAAGCCUUAGCACAUAUUUUAAACGGAACAUUAAUCAAAGCGAUAGGGCGAAAAAGUCUAAUGUGAUCCGCACCCGGGACCUUGGGGAUCAGAGAGAGAACCCCAAAGUUCAGGCGAGAUAUAUCUACCGUACCGCGCAUAAAACCAUUGCACACGUCGAGAAUGGGAUUUUUAAGCACUGGCCAAAACCGCUUAAACAUCGCCACCGGCCACCCAUCCGGCCCGGGCGCAGUGUCAGAUUUCAUACCUAGCGUCGCCUUGUCAAUCUCCUCAGGGAGGAAGGCCAAGCUCAGGUUCUCAUUUUCCUCGUCCGUGACCCGCAGCGCAGGGUCCCACACAUCCGCCCUAAGUCGAGCCCUAGAUUCCUCCCUGGAACCCAUAAGUUGGAUGUAAAACUCGUAGAUGUGCCGGACGAUUUCCUGUUGCCGGAAUAGGAGCCCCUGCUCCGAUUGAAGUCUCAGGAUGGCGCACUUAUGGCGUCAGCCAUUUGCGUAUGCGUGGAAAUAUUGGGUGUUCGCAUCACCCUUGAGCAUCCACUUUAUUCCACCGCGCCUGCGCCAGUACUCCUCCUCGGCCCUAAGAAGGGACUCGACUUGGGCUUCAAGCGCGUAGCGCUGGGCCCAGUCCUGCUCGGAAAAGAUCCGCACAUCUGCCGCAGCGUCCAGCUGGGCGAGCUCCUCGGUCAGGCGCGCUCUUACCAGCUUAUCCUCGCGACCCUGGUUAGCUCCCCACCCUUUGAGGGCCGCACACAUGCCCGCCCCUGCGGCAAUCCAGAACUCCAUCGGACCGCGCACGCGCCCGAUGCGAGCGACACAAUUCUCCCAUUUCGAAAGGAAGAUUUUCUCAAAGUCUGGAGACUCCAGCCACGCGGUUUCAAAGAAAAAGCGCGGGCUGCGUUUUAGCCUUUCCUCCCCCGAGGAAAGAAUGAGGGGGACGUGGUCCGACCCAAUCCUGGUUUCGGCGUGCAGAGAGCACAUGGGGAACAACAUCUCCCACUCCGAGGACAUAAAAACCCUGUCCAAGACCGAUCGCACCGGCGUUAGCUGUUUGUUAGUCCAGGUGUAUCGAGCCCCCACGCGGGCCACUUCCCUAAGGGCCAUGGAUGCGAUAGCAUUAUUAAACAUGGCCACCCUUGUCCAGUUGAUAAUACCGUUAUUCUUGUCCACUCCUGAACGGAUCAAGUUGAAAUCACCACCCACUAGCAGAGGUAGGUUGCUCGCGCCCAAGGCCAUCACCUUGGUCUGAAGUUCUUCCAAGAACUCGAGCGAAAGCGAGUGAUCGGCCGGACCAUACACGACAAUCACCACCCACUCGUGAAGAGUGGCGCGGUGUCGCACGUGUGCCGACAGGAAGAAGCGGUCGGCGUCCCAAGCCACCACCUCUAGGAAAACUAGGCUAACUCCUAGCAGCAAGCCCCCCGAGUGACCUACCGCAGGCACCCAAUGCCAAACCAAAUGCUCCAACGGGUCGGCAGCAAGCAGGUCUCGAUGGUUGAACUCGGCCUUGAUUGUCUCUUGCAAGCCGACCAUGUCGAUUUCCUCGUUCCUAAUGAACUCUUUUAACUGGGUCCGCCUCCCAGCGUGGCCGAAGCCUCGGAUGUUCCAAAAGAUGAAACACAUUAUAUGAUGCGAUUGCGUAGGCGUAUAGCGCGAGCGGUAACCGCUUUGGCCACGUGCCGUGUCUUAGCAGGACGAUGGUUGGAGGAGGACGGUGCAGCCCCUGCUACUUGGUCCUCCUGAUCGGGCCGCGCAACUGGCACCAAAGAAGCCCCUGCUUCAUCUGCUGCUAGCGCAACGCAGGCCAGCGCUGCCUGAGCAAGCGCCGCCUGCGCGAUUUCCUUUGCGCGAAUGAGAGACAGCACCUUGUGCGCUUCCCCCGCGACAGACAUCACCACGCCACUAUCCGCUAAGAUACCACCCAAGCACGCAUCUGAAUAAUCUUCAAAGAUCGUAAAGCGGGGCAUGGGGUUACCUUCAGUUUCGAGAUUCUUCUGCGCCUGAAGGAGCUGGGCCCGCUGGAGGGAUGGCAUGUUGCCCUUGGCACCCUUCGGACGAGAGCUUGCCCUCUCCUGAGUCGCCGGGGAUGCCACUGCCUUGGACCGCCUGGCCGUGGGGAUGGGCGCCACCUUGGACACCUCCACCCGAAGAGCGUCCGAGUCGGGGGAGAGAUGAUCGACGAGGUGCCCCCAGCCGGACCUCCAGGGAAGGCCAGCGCCAUCACCACCGGCUGCUGCGGGACCGCCACGCUCGCACAGGCCGCGGGGGGGGCUCGUCGGCGCCACCGCAGGUGGUUUGCGGCCCGCCGUCUUCAUCUGGAGCUUCAUCCCGCCCUCGCCGAGGCCGGUCACCCCCUUGGGAGAGCUUGCCGCGGCCCGAGGCGCGCCCACCUUCGCAACCACCGGGGAGACCUGCCUCGAGCGACCCUCCGAGCCACAGGACGCCGAGACCCCCUUGUUGAUGUCGAGGCCCAUGGUCAUGGUCGUGUUGGAUCCAUACUGGUUGGAACCAGUCUCAUUGCUGCCUACCACCACUUGGCACUCCUCCUGGUCCUGAGCCGCGCCCGCCACCGGAGGCGCGGCCUGCCCGUCCUUGUCCUUGAGACCCAGUUUGUCCCAAGUUGCCGUGUCGAUGGAGUCAUCCCCCAUGCUCAUGUCGUGGUCCUUGUCCUUGUCCUUGUCCUUGUCUUCCUGGCCCUUGGGAGGGGGAGGGGGAGUGGGAGUCGCACCCUGCAGAGCACCCGUCUCGGCCUCCAGGCGGAAGGUGAAUCCCUCACUGUUGAACCAAACCUGCACGUAUCCCUUGAGCUUGGCCGGGGCACGGCACGCAAAACGCAUCCGCACCGGUCCCAGGCCUGACAGCGACCCGUAUCCACCUCCAUAGGACGCCCAAUCAUCACCGUGGCGGCCAUGAGGCGAUCCACGUGACGGUGCUUGGGCGGCACACCCCACAGCUUGACCCAAGUGUCCGGCAUGAGCUCGGCCUUGGGCUCCUCCGGGCGAGCCUCCUUGAUGUCCGCCAUGAUGUCGUGGAGGGAGAAGUAGAGCUUGCCGCUGCGGGUCGCCAUCCGCAGCAUGGCCUUGUCGGGGAAGACGACCGAGAACUGAUCGACUCCGACGGCCGACACCUGCCAGUCCCACUCCCCUUCGAAGAGGUGGGGGAGUUCCGCCUCCAAGAUGAGGAUUGACAACUUGCCGUUCGCUGCCGAAAUGAUCGCCGUGUCCGACACGAGAGGAGCGUGGACCUCCUCACCCUCCGUGUCCACGAAUGGGAGGCAGAAGAAUCCCUCACCAGGGAUCGCGUUGCCCAUGAUCUGCAGCGCCAGGGGCCUCCCCCGCGUGGGACAGUAAGCCGACGCAUGGCCCUCCUCAUGGUAGACGACGCACAGGGGUUUGAAGGAGCACAUGUUUUGAUAGUGCCCCACCCUGCCGCAUUUGAAACACUCCGGCCCGUCGGCCUCUUCCAUGGGGAUCGGGGCGUCAGCCGACCCCCUAGAAGCCUCGGGGCCAGCCGCCAGCAGCAGCAGCGCCGAGCCGGCCCCCUUGUGCUUCGGCUUCUUGGCCUGCGGGUCCCCACCCCGCUCACCGCCCGGAGGGAGCUGGGACUCCUUCCGCUUGAGCUCCUUCUUCUGCUCGAGCCCCCGCUGCCGGUACUCCUCCUUCUUCUUCUUCUUGCGCUCGCGCUCCUCUUGCUUCUUCCGUUCCUGCUCAGCGAGCCACCAUGGAGGCGGCGGCCCCCAGCCCCCGUCCUCCGCAGGGGUCGCAGGCACCUUGGCGAGCGCCUUCGCCCGCAGAUCCUUCUCGCGCUGGCGUUCCGCCGCCGGAAUCGGAGGCGACAUGGGUGGCUUGUCACCACGGCGGGAGCCCAUCCGCACCGCAGUGGCGUAUGAGCAAGAAAGGGGAGGGGGAGGGACGGAGCGGUGCAGACGACGAGCAAGAUGCCCGAAGCGCCGCACCUGCGAAGAGGAAGCAGGAAACCCUAGCGACAGAUCUAGGGUUCCUUUUGGCACCCACAGCCACCUAUAUAUAGGGGUUGGCGACCGCGGCUUCUCCUUCACAAUGGGCCCGGGCCAAGGCGCAGGCUCGCAGCAGGCCACCUGUCCUGUCUGGGCUGGCCCCGACACAGUGGAGAGCCCCUGCCCCCCUCCUGGCCCGGAAGCAGCGGAGCACGAUGCUGGGCCCAACGGCCCCGCUGGCGCUGUAACCUGCAGGCCCAAUGCAGGGCCCCCCAGCCCACCCCCUGGUAGACUGGGCCAAUCAUACUAGCCCAACAGCAAAACGGGCCCAGCCGCCGGUGCCCCGGAAACCCUAGCCAGGUUCCGUGAGUCCCCUGCCCGGCCAGCCCCGCCGCCGCCGUUGCCAGCCCCUGCCGGCACCGACGAGCACGUAGGAGCCUGAGGGAGCUCCGCCAGCACCAGAUCCCGGCGACCCGCCUCCGGAAUGGCGCACGAGCGGCCCUCGGGGCCCGCAUCCACCCCCUUCGGCGGACGCCAGAUCCGGGCCGCCAGGCGGCGACCUCCCUGCCGUCCAGGAGCAAAAGCACGCCGCCGGCCGGCCAUGAAGGAGCCCCCGAGCUCCUCCACACGGGCGAUGAAAUCACCCACCGAGCACCCAGCACUGGGCUUCGGCGAACCACCGGAACCACCAUCACUUACCUGAGUACAUACCUCGUCGUCGUCGUUGUCGGAGUCGAUCCCCUCCAGCGCCCAGAACCGGCUGCCGGAGAAGGGCGGAGCAAGGGGCCGCCCCUCGGGUAGCACGCCCCUCCGCGGCCGCCUCGCAGCAAGCCGCACCGCCGUCCAGCCAACCGCCUCUGCCGCGGCGCCCGCCGCAUCGCCCUUCCCGACGCCCGACCCAAACGCGUCGCCCUCCGCGUCGCCCGACCCAAACGCCAUCGCCUAUCCGCUUUUUGCCUUUUUCGUUGCUCCCAACUUUCCAACCAAAAAGGAGGAAGGUUUUCUCAGAGGUAAAAAAAAUAUUGAACAUGAGACCAUACUCCGACGGAGCAAGUUCCUUUUCUUGGUGCUAAAGGGUAGGAGUUUCACCGUGAAAAUACAAGGCAAAUCUACGAAUUCGAUGAGCAGUCGACACGAGCUUCCUGGAUUGCAUCAGAUAGUCGAACUAAACGCGUCCUUGACUCAAAAUACUCUUAAAAGAAUUUUGAGGGAUUCUAAAACUCACGUUUUUGUUUCUAUAUGAGAUUUUUUUAUUUAGAAAAGAAGGAUGACCCCCGAUCUCUGCAUCUGGACGAUGCAUGCGCCAACUUUAUUAAUUAUUCUCACAAGACCUUACAAAGUCACUAGCAAACAUGUUCGUGCGUUGCAACGGGAGAAAAAAGGUUGAUAUGCUUCGCUGUAAAGCAAAUGUUAAUUAUCAUUAAUCAGGCCAGACAGAUAGAUGAUAAGUUUGAUGAUAACAAAAAUGAUGAAUCAAUUAACAAUAGAAGUCCUUGGGACGCUAGUUCAAAACUUGUGAAGUGAAUCCUAGUCAACUAAUCGGAUGAACAAUCUUAUCUUUAGAUUAUCAUAAUGGUAAAAAAAAUACCGCAUACGCAAUGCUUCUUUUGAGUUACAUUGGAUAAUAAAAAUAUAGUAUACUUCGUCCGACGUCCAGGCAUGCAUGGUGUGUUAACCGCGAUGUCCUCGUAUGGACAUUUUAACUUCUUGUUUUACUUAGUCUGUUGUACCUCGAUUCAGGACUAAUCAUAAUUUCCUCUUUUCUAGCUUUAUUGAAAGUGCGAGCAUAUAAGCUUUUGUCGUGUGUCCUCUAAGCCUUUGUCAAACAUUGUCUAAUCCUUAUCCAUGUAUAUAUAUGAUGUUUGUUUCCUUCUUAGUUUUCGCCUCCACAUAAUCGGUAUGAGUCCGUGAGGGAGAAAACAGGAUAUAUAUUUUUCAUGAAUAAGACAUAAAUAGAGUUAAUUUAAACCUUAAAAUAAAAAUAUGUAGCAUAGAAUCAAAUUUGAUAAGAGAAUAAAUACAUCUGUGCGCUAACACGUCUCAAAGAGAUUUGGUGACACCCUCGUUAGCUGACACAUCUAAUAAGUGUUGAAAACUCAACACGCGUGCACGCUAGCUAACACGUGGGCUGUUUUUUUAGAAGUAACACGUCAGCUAACACGUGGGCUGUUUUUUAGAAGUAACACGUCGGCUUUGGUAGUAGAAAUCAGCGCCCUCAUUGGCGCUCCAGGUCCCACAAUGUCGCACCUUCUCGUCCGUUUCCAGGAUAGCGAAUCUCCUCCUUCCUUCCAGAAACCUUCCCCACCCCGAUUUCCAGAACUGCCGCCUGCACUCACCGUCACCGAGAGACCCCCUCACCCGCGCGUGUCGCCGAACCCUCCUCGCUCCCCCGACUUUCACUGGCCAUGGCGGGAGGCCUCUGAUACGUCUCCAUCAUAUCUACUUUUCCAAACACUUUUGCCCUUAUUUUGAACUCUAACUUGCAUGAUUUGAAUUGAAUUAACCCAGACUGACGCUGUUUUCAGUAGAAUUGUCAUGGUGUUAUUUAUGUGAACCUGAAAUUUCAUGGAGCAACUUUUUGAAAAAUAUAAAAAAUACCUGCAAAAGUUGAAGGCCAGGGGACCCACCACCUGUCCACGAGGAUGGGGAGCGCGCCCCCCACCUCGUGGGCCCCCUGGUGCCUCUUCGACUCCAACUCCAUAUACUGUGUUUCGGGGAGAAAAAAAUCAGAGAGAAGUAUUCAUCGCGUUUUACGAUACGGAGCCGCCACCAAGCCCUAAAACCUUUCGGGAGGGCUGAUCUGGAGUCCGUUCGGGGCUCCGGAGAGGGGAAUCCGUCGCCAUUGUCAUCAUCAACCAUCCUCCAUCAUCAAUUUCAUGAUGUUCACCGCCGUGCAUGAGUAAUUCCACCGUAGGCUUGUUGGACGAUGAUGGGUUGGAUGAGAUCUAUCAUAUAAUCGAGUUAGUUUUGUUAGGGUUUGAUCCCUAGUAUCCACUAUGUUCUGAGAUUGAUGUUGCUAUGACUUUGCUAUGCUUAAUGCUUGUCACUAGGGCCCGAGUGCCAUGAUUUCAGAUCUGAACCUAUUAUGCUUUCAUCAAUAUAUGAGAGUUCUUGAUCCUAUCUUGCAAGUCUAUAGUCACCUAUUAUGUGUUAUGAUCCAUUAACCCCGAAGUGACAAUAAUCGGGAUACUUACCGGUGAUGACCGUAGUUUAAGGAGUUCAUGUAUUCACUAUGUGUUAAUGCUUUGUUCCGGUACUCUAUUAAAAGGAGGCCUUAAUAUCCCUUAGUUUCCGUAAGGACCACGCUGCCACGGGAGGGUAGGACAAAAGAUGUCAUGCAAGUUCUUUUCCAUAAGCAUGUAUGACUAUAUUCGGUAUACAUGCCUACAUUAUAUCAAUGAACUGGAGCUAGUUCUGUGUCACCCUAGGUUAUGACUGUUACAUGUUGAACCGCAUCCGGCAUAAUUCUCCAUCACUGAUCAUUGCCUACGAGCUUUCCAUAUAUUGUUCUCCGCUUAUUUACUUUUCCGUUGCUAUUGCUAUCAUCACUACAAAAUACCAAAAACAUUACUUUUACUACUGUUACCUUUUGCUACCGUUACCAUUACUAUCAUAUUACUUUGCUACUAAACACUUUGCUGCAGAUAUUAAGUUUCCAGGUGUGGUUGAAUUGACAACUCAGCUACUAAUACUUGAGAAUAUUCUUUGGCUCCCCUUGUGUCGAAUCAAUAAAUUUGGGUUGAAUACUCUACCCUCGAAAAUUAUUGCGAUCCCCUAUAUUUGUGGGUUAUCAAGACUAUUUUCGGGCGCCAUUGCCGGGGAGCAUAGCUCUAUUCUUUGAGUCACUUGGGAUUUAUAUCUGCUUAUCAUUAUGAAGAACUUGAAAGAUCCAAGAACCAAGAUUUAUCCCUCAACUACGAGGGGAGGUAAGGAACUGUCAUCUAGCUCUGCACUUGAUUCACCUUCUGUUUUGAGUAAGCUUGCGACACCUAAAACUGCUUCUGCUAUUCGUUUUGAUAUGUCGCAUGUUAUUGAUGAUGCUACUUCUUCUAUGCAUGAUACUUAUGAUGAAACUACUUCUAUGCUUGAUAUUACUGUGCCACUUGGUGAAUUUCUUGAUGAACAACUUGCUAGGGCUAGAGAGAUUGAAAAUAUUGAAUCUGAUAAUACUGAUGAAAGUGAUGAUGAAGAAUCACGUGUUAUUCCUGAGGGUUAUGUUUUUGAUCAAGAAGCUUCUUUAGCUAUUUUAGCUUGCAAAGAUAGAUACGAACUUAAGAGGUUAUUAGCUAAAUGGAACAAGCAAUCUCUAAAUGCUAUAAUGAAACCCGACCCUGUUUUUGCUACUUCACCUAUAUGUGUUCCUGAUAAGGAUUAUGAAUUCUCUGUUGAUCCUGAUAUAAUUACUUUGGUUGAAUCUGAUCCGUUUUAUGGCUAUGAAUCUGAAACUGUUGUGGCACAUCUUACUAAGUUAAAUGAUAUAGCCGCCCUGUUUACUAAUGAUGAGAGAUCGCGUUACUUUUAUAUACUCAAAAUAUUUCCGUUCUCAUUAAAGGGUGAUGCUAAGAUAUGGUUUAAUUCUCUUGAUCCUGGUUGUGUGCGUAGUCCCCAAGAUAUGAUUUAUUACUUCUCUGCUAAAUAUUUCCCCGCUCAUAAGAAACAAGCUGCUUUAAGGGAUAUAUAUAAUUUUGUGCAAAUUGAAGAAGAGAGUCUCCCACAAGCUUGGGGGGCUUCUCCAAUUACUUAAUGCUUUGCCUGAUCAUCCUCUUAAGAAAAAUGAAAUACUUGAUAUCUUUUAUAAUGGACUAACCGAUGCCUCCUGAGAUUACCUGGAUAGUUGUGUUGGUUCUAUUUUCAGGGAAAGAACACCGGAUGAAGCUGAAAUUCUAUUGAAUAAUAUGUUGACAAAUGAAAAUAAUUGGAUACCUCCGGAGCCAAUUCCUGAGCCUAUUCCUAAACCAACUCCGAAGAAAAAGGGGUAUUCUAUUUCUCAGUCCUGAAGAUAUGCAAGAGGCAAAGAAAUCUAUGAAAGAAAAAUGUAUUAAAGCUAAAGAUGUUAAGAAUUUACCUCCUAUUGAAGAAAUACACGGUUUUAAUUUACCGCAUGUUGAAGAAACAUAUGAUCUUAAUCCAUUACCUAUUGAAGAAACUCAUGGUCUUGAUAACCCGACACAGGUGGUAAAGGUAAAUUCUCUCUAUAGAUAUGGUAAAGCUGAAAUCCCAUUUACUAAGUUUGCUAGCCCAUGCUUAGAUGAGUUUGAUAAAUUUAUGGCUAAGCAAGAAGACUUUAAUGCUUAUUUUGGUAGAGAAUUGAAAUACAAUUCAAAUAUGCUAGAACACUUGGGUGAUUAUAUGGCUAAUGUCAAAGGUGAACUUAAACUUAAUAGUAAACAUGCUUCUAUGGUUACCACUCAAGUAGAACAAGUACUUAAAGCGCAAAAUGAUUUGCUCAAUGAAUUGAAUAGUAAGGAUAAUGAUAAUGUUGUUAGAGUUAUGACUAGAGGUGGUAGAAUGACUCAGGAACCUUUGUAUCUUGAAGGCCACCCUAAGAGAAUUGAGCAAGAUUCUCAGAGAAAUAAUAUAGAUGCACCUAGUCCUUCUAAAAGGAAGAAAAAGAAAAAUGAUAGGACUUUGCAUGCUUCUAGUGAACCUGUUACUAAAACACCUGAGAAUCCAAAUGAUAUUUCUAUCUCUGAUGCUGAAACUCAAUCUGGUAAUGAACCUAAAACUAGUGAUAAUGUUAAUGAUAAUGUUCAUGAUGAUGCUCAACCUAGUAAUGAUAAUGAUAUAGAAAUUGAACCUGCUAUUGAUCUUGAUAACUCACAAUCAAAGAAUCAACGUUAUGAUAAGAAAGACUUUGUUGCUAGGAAACAUGGUAAAGAAAGAGAACCAUGGGUUCAGAAACCCAUGCCUUUUCCUCCCAAACCAUCCAAGAAAAAGGAUGACGAGGAUUUUGAGCGCUUUGCUGAAAUGAUUAGACCUAUCUUUUUGCGUAUGCGAUUAACUGAUAUGCUCAAAAUGAAUCCUUAUGCUAAGUAUAUGAAAGAUAUUGUUACAAAUAAAAGAAAGAUACCGGAAGCUGAAAUUUCCACCAUGUUUGCUAAUUAUACUUUUAAGGAUGGAAUACCAAAGAAACUUGGAGAUCCAGGAGUACCCACUAUAUCAUGCUCCAUUAAAAGAAACUAUGUUAAAUCUGCUUUAUGUGAUCUUGGAGCCGGUGUUAGUGUUAUGCCUCUCUCUUUAUAUCGUAGGCUUGAUUUGAAUAAGUUGACACCUACUAUAUUUGCAAAUGGCUGAUAAAUCAACUGCUAUACCUGUCGGUAUUUGUGAGGAUGUGUCUGUUGUAGUUGCAAACGUUACUAUUUUAACGGACUUUGUUAUUCUUGAUAUUCCCGAGGACAAUAGUAUGUCUAUUAUUCUUGGAAGACCCUUUUUGAAUACUGCAGGGGCUGUUAUUGAUUGCACUAAAGGCUAUGUCACUUUUCAUGUUAAUGGUAAUGAGUAUACGGUACACUUUCCGAGGAAACAACCUCAAGUUCAUAGUAUCAACUCUAUUGGAAAAUUUCCAUCGAUUAUAUUUGGAGGUUUUGAAUUUCCUCUUCCUACUGUCAAGAAGAAAUAUGAUAUUCUUAUUAUUGGGAAUGUGCAUAUCCCCGUUGAGGUAACAUAGUGUUAUUCGAAAUUUCUCCGGUUCCAUGUUAUUCGGAAUGAGUUCGUUAACAAGACUUGAUCAACCUUGUUGGUGGAUUCCUUUUGAUGAUCAUGAGAUGGAUGAAAUUAGAGAGCACAACCUUCUGUACCCCACUUUUACUUUCUGUUAUUUAUAUUAAAUAAAAUAAAAAUAAAUAUUUUUUUGUCUGUUAUAUGAUUAUCCGUGCAAUAUAAAAAUACCCGAAAAUAAAAGUUCUCCAAAUGCCCUGAACACAGCAGGGGGGUCAACCACCUACCCACGAGGGUGGAGGGCACGCCCUACCCCCUUGGGCGCGCCCCCUGCCUCGUGGGUCCACGGUGGCCCUCCUCCACUUAUCUUUUCACCCACACACUCCUUCUUCCUCCCUCAAACACGAAUAUCCAGCUCAAGCACGAGUUCUAGCUUAUUUUGCUGCCAUUUUCGAUCUCCUUGCUCAAAGCACCUCUCACAAAACUGCUUGGGGAGAUUGUUCCUUGGUAUGUGACUCCUCCAUUGGUCCAAUUAGUUUUUGUUCUAGUGAUUUAUUCAUUGCAAAUUUUUGCUGCUUAGGUGACCCUGUUCUUGAGCUUGCAUGUCAAAUUUAUAUGGUCAAAAGUAGUUUUGAUGCAUGAUAUAGGCUCUAGGCACUUGUAGGAGUAGUUGUUAUCAAUAUUAUUGAGUUUGGUUUACUUUUAUUUUGAAGUUACUAAAAAAAUUCAAAAAAAUUCAGAGGAAGAAAAAUGCUUAGGAAAAUGUUCCAAGGUGGUCCCUCAAGAAAGCAAGGACCCAGGCUUGCAAUGCGUGAUGCUUAUGAAGAGCCACCAAGAGACGCUCCAGUGUGUCCUUGUGAGUGACCUUCUGAAAAUUUUAUGGAUCGAGCGGGAAUUAAAGAAGAAUUCAAUGCAUAUUUGUGUAACGCCAAUCUUGUGAGCUUCGAGGAAGAGAAGUGCAGUCAGUUUUACAACCUCACCAGUACCUUUGUGAGGAGGUUUGAAUUUUCAACUUCACGUAAUUCUCCAACUGUCCUGUUUGAUCUUUAUGAAAAUUCUUAUACUAUGGACUUAGAGGAUUUUACCAGUGCUUGCAAACUUCCACAAUGGGGUAGUAUAAGGGAUCCUCGCAAAUCUGAAUUUAGAGAUUUUCUUGCUAGUAUAACUGUGGGAGAAUCUAGAGAUAUAACACAAGCCACCAUAGGGAGCAUUUACUUUCCUGCUAUACAUUAUUUUGCUCUCUUCAUAGGUAGAUGCAUUAAUGGUAAACAUGAGGCAUGUCACAUAUGUGUCCCCGAUAUCAGUAUUCUUAGGAGUGCUAUGUUAGGAGAUAAAUCCUAUAAUUUGGGAGCCACUGUUGCAUGUAGGUUGCAUCUUAAUAGAUUUAGUGGAGAUUUCUUUGGAGGAAUUUAUGCAUCCCGCAUAGCUAAUUUUCUUGGUAUAGCCAUAUGCGAAGAUGAUAUUGAAUUACCUCCUGCUUACCUAGACUUUAAUGCUAUGGUUCACCGCCAGUUUAUCGAGAGGAAUGAAUCACCUCUCCAGUAUCGACUAAUCUUUGACAGACGCCGUGUUGUCCAUAUUACUCUCCCUGCUCCUACUUUCUUUGAUCAUUAGGCAAAAGGAAGAUAUACUAUCACCAGAGAGGAGGCAGAUGAGUACGAGAGGAGAGCGGGGGUCGCUCGUCGCCACGCUCCAGCUCAGCAGGCGAUAGCCGCUGCAUCUCAGUAUGACCCCAACUAUUAUUAUAGAUAUCCGCCAGGCCAGCCGUGGCCAUAAACCAACUUAGGCCAAAAGCCUAAGCUUGGGGGAGUACGUAUUUCCCAACGACAUUACAUUUAUGUUUGCACACUCAUUGCUAGAUGUCGGUGCUCAUACUUUUUCAUUGUAUCAUCCAUACUAGUUUAUUUUCCUUUUUAUGCUUUCUUCUUGUGUGUUUAAUAAACCUUAAGAAACACCAAAAAAUUAGUUGUAGCUUUUAAUUAGUUUACCUUCCAUGCUUGUAGUAGUAAUUAAAAAGAAAACCCAAAAAUAUUUCCUGUUCUUCUUUUGCUUGUUGGGAGCUCUCCCGUGUAAAUAGUUGUAUUUCUUUCUUUUCUUUGGGGGUCGAUAGGAGAAGACCAUGAUUAAAUUGUUGAAGUGGCUCUUAUAUACAUUAUUGUUGAUCUGACAAAAGAGCCCACAUUGCCUUGUCUUCUCCUGUUUAUUGAAUGCGUGUAGAUUCCAGCUUAGUCCAAUGCACACGCACUAUUAUUAUUAUUCACAUCGUUCGGUCGUGCAAGUGAAAGGCAAUUAUGAUGAUAUAUGAUGGACUGACCGAGAUGAGAAAAGCUGGUAUGAACUCGACCUAUUUUGUUUUUGUAAAUAUGAUUAGUUCAUCGUUCCUGAUUCAGCCUAUUAGGAAUAAACAUGUUUGCAAUGACAACUAAAGAUCAUAGUUCCUUGUGUCAUGCUUGAUUAGCUAUGAGUAAUAAUGGUUUACCUUGCGUGCCAACAUGCUAUUGAGAUGGUUAUGAUGUGGUAUGAUAGGGUGGUAUCCUCCUCUGAAUGAUUUAAGUGACUUGACUUGGCGCAUGUUCACGCAUGUAGUUGAAACAAAAUCAACAUAGUCUUCAUGAUAUUUAUGUUCAUGGUGGAUUAUAUCCUACUCAUGCUUGCACUCGGUGUUGAUUAAUUUUAAUGCAUGUUCAUGACUGUUGUCGCUCUCUAGCUGGUUGCUUCCCAGUCUUUUGCUAGCCUUCACAUGUACUAACCGGGAAUACUGCUUGUGCAUCCAAUCCCUUAAACCCCAAAGUUAUUCCAUAUGAGUCCACUAUAACUACCUAUAUACGGUAUCUACUUGCCGUUCCAGGUAAUUUGUAUGUGCCAAACUCUAAACCUUCAAAUAAAUAUCCCGUUUUGUAUGCUCGAAUAGCUCAUGUAUCAACUAGGGUUCUUUUUAUCUUCCAUGUUAGGCGGGUUAUUCUCAAGAGGAGUGGACUCUGCUCCUCACUCACGAGAUAAAUGGCUGGUCACCGGGAUGCCCAGUCCCAUGCUUUAUGCAAACUAAAUCAAAAUAAUUGUAAACAAAACUCCCCCUGGGACUCUUGUUAGUUGGAGGCACUCAUUGUUUCGAGCAAGCCAUGGAUUGAUGCUUGUUGGUGGAAGGGGGAGUAUAAACUUUACCAUUCUGUUUGGGAACUGCCUAUAAUGUGUGUAGCAUGGAAGAUAUCGCCAUCUCUUGGUUGUUAUGUUGAUAAUCAAAGUAUACCGCUCAAAAUAUUAUUCACCUCUGUUUCAAAACCGAGCUCUGGCACCUCUACAAAUCCUGCUUCCCUCUGCGAAGGGCCUAUCUAUUUACUUUUAUGCUGAGUCAUCACCCUCUUAUUAAAAAGCACUAGUUGGAGAGCAUUGUUGUCAUUUGCAUUCAUUACUGUUAGUUUACAUUGAGUAUGACUUGACUGGAUCUCUUUUAUCAUGAAUUACAAUGUCUAGUCAGUCCUUGGUCUUUAAAGGUGCUCUGCAUUUAUGUUUUGCGGUCUCAGAAAGGGCUAGCGAGAUACCACCUUGUUAUAUCAUAUUAUGAUUGUUUUGAGAAAGUGUUGUCAUCCGAGAUUUAUUAUUAUUGCUCGCUAGUUGAUUAUGCUAUUGAUAUGAGUAAACUUGAGACCUAAGCGUUAUUGCGAGUGUGGUUAGUUAUAAUCUUUGCUGAAAACUUGAAUGAUGGCUUUACAUAUUUACAACAACAAGAGCAAACAAAGUUUGUAAAAGUUUUUCUUUAUCACUUUCAGUUUGUCAACUAAAUUGAUUGAGGACAAGCAAAGGUUUAAGCUUGGGGGACUUGAUACGUCUCCGUCGUAUCUACUUUUCCAAACACUUUUGCCCUUGUUUUGUACUCUAACUUGCAUGAUUUGAAUGGAACUAACCCGGACUUAUGCUAUUUUCAGCAGAAUUACCAUGGUGUUAUUUAUGUGCAGAAACAAACAUUCUCGGAAUGACCUGAAACUUCAUGGAGCAACUUUUUAGAAAAUAUAAAAAAUACCUGCAAAAGAUGAAGGCCAGGGGGCCCAGCACCUGUCCACGAGGGUGGGGGGCGCGCCAGCUCCCUGGGGUGCGCCCCCUACCUCGUGGGCCCCCUGGUGCCUCUCCGACUCCAACUCCAACUCCAUAUAUUGUGUUUCGGGGAGAAAAAAUUAGAGAGAAGAAUUCAUCGCGUUUUACAAUAUGGAGCCGCCGCCAAGCCCUAAAACCUUUCGGGAGAGCUGGUUUGGAGUUUGUUCGGGGCUCCGGAGAGGGGAAUCCGUCGCCAUCGUCAUCAUCAACCAUCCUCCAUCACCAAUUUCAUGAUGCUCACCGCCGUGCGUGAGUAAUUCCAUCGUAGGCUUGCUAGACGGUGAUGGGUUGGAUGAGAUCUAUCAUGUAAUCGAGUUAGUUUUGUUAGGGUUUGAUCCCUAGUAUCCACUAUGUUCUGAGAUUGAUGUUGCUAUGACUUUGCUAUGCUUAAUACUUGUCACUAGGGCCCGAGUGCCAUGAUUUCAGAUCUGAACCUAUUAUUUUUUCAUCAAUAUAUGAGAGUUCUUGAUCCUAUCUUGCAAGUCUAUAGUCACCUAUUAUGUGUUAUGAUCCAUUAACCCCGAAGUGACAAUAAUCAGGAUACUUACCGGUGAUGACCGUAGUUUGAGGAGUUCAUGUAUUCACUAUGUGUUAAUGCUUUGUUCCGGUACUCUAUUAAAAGGAGGCCUUAAUAUCCCUUAGUUUCCGUAAGGACCCCACUGCCACGGGAGGGUAGGAGAAAAGAUGGCAUGCAAGUUCUUUUCCAUAAGCACGUAUGACUAUAUUCGGUAUACAUGCCUACAUUAUAUCAAUGAACUGGAGCUAGUUCUGUGUCACCCUAGGUUAUGACUGUUACAUGUUGAACCGCAUCCGGCAUAAUUCUCCAUCACUGAUCCAUUGCCUACGAGCUUUCCAUAUAUUGUUCUCCGCUUAUUUACUUUUCCGUUGCUAUUGCUAUCAUCACUACAAAAUACCAAAAACAUUACUUUUACUACUGUUACCUUUUGCUACUGUUACCAUUACUAUCAUAUUACUUUGCUACUAAACACUUUGCUGCAGAUAUUAAGUUUCCAGGUGUGGUUGAAUUGACAACUCAGCUGCUAAUACUUGAGAAUAUUCUUUGGCUCCCCUUGUGUCGAAUCAAUAAAUUUGGGUUGAAUACUCUACCCUCGAAAACUGUUGUGAUCCCCUAUACUUGUGGGUUAUCAGGCUCCUACACAUCUGCGCGUUUCCGGGAGCCCGACAGCGGGGCCAUGGAAGGAAGACGUCCGCGCGCUACCAGGAGGAGUUCUGCGGCGGCCAUGGCUCCUCCUUCGCCGGGAUUCCUGCACCCCUACUCCAUAACUCCCACUCCAGCGGCCAUGGCGGGCUCCUUGUCCUUAUUCUCCCUGCACCCUGCAGCCGCGGACGCCCCCUCCUACCCGCCGACGUAGCCGUAACCGCCGAGUCAAGAGCGGCCCGGAGGCAGAGGAGGUUUGGUGCGAUGCGCAGUGGGAGGCGGCGUGGCCACGGAGGGCGCGACCGGUGGUGCUCGACGGGGAAGACGAGGCCCCAGACGGCGCCGGAGCAGGCAAUGCUCGCCGGGGAAGACGGGGCCCCAGACUGCGCUGGAGCAAGCGCCAGGGAUUCUGGCAUGGGGCGUGCCAGGAGCCUGAUGGACGAAGACCUGGAGGAGCUCAAGGGGUGCGUGGAUGUGGGUUUGAUUUGCAGUAGCAGCAGAGCAGCAGACCCGAUAGAUCGGCAGCCUUCCAAUCUUCAAGACCAGAGAAGGCUUCUAAAUCGCGCCGGAGCCAGGGUGCCUGCGGUUGGGGAUUUUUGGGGGAUGGGCGAGUGCGGAAUCGACAAGCGGCGAGGGUUGGUCAUAUAUUAUGGAGGCGGCUGGGGAAGGCGCCGAAUACGAUACGUCUGAUUCCUUCCAAAACUGCUUGCGCAUGCCCAAUAGGCAGCGACGGCCCGAGCCCGUGAAUGAACGAAAGUUUUAACUGUGUUGGAUCAAUUAUAGACACCAAGUAAUUAGUACCACCUUGUUUAUAUUACGAUUUUGUCUAUACAAAUCGUAAAAGCGUAUUAUGACAUGAGAAGAAGGCGUAUUGUGACGGUGAACCCGACAAAGUCAAUCUGUGCUUUAUUAUUAUUAGGGAAAGAUACAACAAAGAUUAAAGCCACCGUCUAAGCAACAACUGUCGCUACACCUAUCCAAUUGAUGAAGGGAUGCUGAUAGCCUGGGCCUAAUACCAAACAGACAUCACAGCCAAACCUAAACAUCUAAGACCUGAGGUCCCAACCAGGACGCCUGCCUGGAAUGGGGCACCUACCAGUCCGGCGCACUCCUCAACCAGGAUGCCUGCCGGGUAUAAGGCCACCGUAGCCACCUGCCACGAGUCCAUCUUUAGAGUUGUACUGUUGCAUCUACCGUGCCAGGUCUCUCUGCCAUCGACGCCACCACGACGCCAGACAGUGUCGUCCUCCUGCGCGAGUCCAUCCUCCCACAUCGAACUCCAAAUCUGCACUACACCAUGCCGUCAAGAUCCGUAGCCAUCAAUGUGUAGAAUGAAGCACCGCUCCACCAAAGAAGCCGUCCGCUGGCCCCGCGAAGCCGAGUGCACCUCCAAGAAUGCCGCCCAAAAGGGGGUUACGACACAUGAAUGCCGCCAACUUCCGAUCAGCUGAUCUAGGGUUUCCCCCAGAGGUAUUGAGUGGAGUUGGGAGCUUCACCUCGAUGAUGCCUUCAUGAAGGAAACGAUGACAAGGGCAUCGUCGUCACCGGCUCCCGUCAUCAACCGAAGACUAAGUUUUCACCCGGAUUCGUCCCAAGAAAUCCUCCCAACAACCUGUGCAUCAUCUCGACCGCCUUCAAAGCCCCAGAUCCAGCCAGCUAGAUCCGGCGACCAACCGCAGCAACAGUGCCACUGUGGGAUCCCUGGUGCACCGGCCACUGUCUGAGAGUGCCACCACUGGAGCCUAGGAGGAGGGCUCCCACCCCUCCUAGCCAAGCCGUGAGAGCCGCCAAGAAGGAUCCCGCAUGCUCGUCACCAUCUCUGAUCCGAACCUCGCCGUCACAGAUCCGCCUUGGACAGGGACUGCACCAUGCCAUGCCACAGCGGGAAGCCCUAGCGUCACCAGCCGCCGCCCCGAGAUCCAGAAAAACCUCGCCGCUACCACCGGCCAAGUUCCACCAGCGCCGACCGGCCACUGCGACCUCACCACCAUGCAGCCGACGGAUCUGGGCGAGGAUAGCCAUCCUCCCCGAGGACAGACGAUGCAGCCUCUUCUCCGCGUACUCGCACGGGAAGCCACCAUGGACGCGUCCCCACCCCUCGCCAGAUGCUGCGCACGUGCCGCCCCGCCGCCGGCGAAGGUCGCCGCCACGAGGAGACCCGCACGCAGCCGCCACACAGCUCGGCGUCGAUCCAUCUGCAGUCGUGCCAUGGGCCCGCCGCCGUCAAGAUCGUCGCCGCCACACCACCAGGAUCCGCGCGCCCCGGCGCCUCCGCUCGGCCUGGUCGCUCCCGCGGGCCAUGAACGCUAAGAGGGGAGAAGGCCCCCGCCGCCAGCCACCACGGGGGGCUUUGCCCCAGCGGCUCUGGCUGGCGACGGCGGGGAAGGGGAGGAGGGGGAGGGCUAGUGGCAGAAGGUGGUAGCGCCGCCCGCGUCGCCCGCGGGAGGGGCGACGCGAGGGCUAGGGCUAGGGUUGGGGGCAGGUGUGUCGCCCGCGGGAUGUUUGAUUUGUACCAUUGAAAAUAAUAGGAUUUUUUUCCUUAAAAUCCACUUACGCUAGAUCUAAUUAAAAAUAAUAAUCCACUCGAACCUUUUGAAAAUAAUCUUACAUUUUUUGUUCACUAAUAAUACUGAAGAUUGCAUGACACUUUAAUUUGAUUUUUUUGCAUUUCUUCACUUUUUUGUGGAUCAAUGAGGCACUAAAACUUAGGGGCUAGAUCAUUGCGGUCCCGGCAGCCGAAAAAUCUCUCCUUCCCCAUCACCAGUCGGGCUGACUAUGUGUCCCACCAAGAAUGGGCGGCCCAUCGUGCGUAGGAGAGGAUAAGGGCCGCCGAGGCCCGUAUCGCGGCGGAAAUGACAGCGGCGGAGGCGGCUGAUGCGGCGGCGUGGGCGGCCGCAGAGGAGGAAGCCAUCCGCGCCCGCAUUGUGAAGAAACGGUAGCGCAGAAACACGUGCGCUCUCGCUUGAGAGAAGAACCAGACGGUCUGUGCCAUGGCCGGACUGCCACCAAAGGAGGAGAAGGAGGACAACGACGACAACGAUCAGAUCCGGCUUGACCUCUACUGCAUUUUUGACCGGCACCGGGAAGGGCAAGGACAGUCGUGGAUGAUCUCCACCAUAGACAAACAUGCCAAAUUUUGGUAGUCCGAUGGCAUGUUAGUGGUGAUGGAGUAGCUGGACGAUGUGUGUGAUGCAUCAGCGCAGUUGCAUGAGUUUGUAUGGAUUUGAUAUAUGAUAAUUGAGGUGUCCGGUUGUGAGAAGGCAAAUUUGAGACUUGACCGGUCAGCAUUCACGGACGCGCCCAGGCAUUUGAGGUGUCGGAUUUGCAAAGUCUGGGUGUAGAUGCUCUUGGGACAUCUACAUCUGUAUAUUACAAAUAUGGCCCCUCAAGCGUCCGCGGACGCACCUAGGCGCGUCUGCGGGCAGUGACCGGGACACACCUCAUUUUGUUGUGUCUCCACUCAUGUAUCUCAAAUGCGGCAUUUCAUAUCCAUGCAACACAUGCACAUAUGGAACAAACGCACGUAGAUCUUCGGGCUAGCAGCAAAUCUAGUUAACUCGAACAAAUUGUAGCAUAAACGAUCAUCGGAGAGCCCAAAGAUGCAGUCUUAAAUGGACAGUACUCUAAACAUACGAUAACAGGGAAGGAUGGAGGAAAUCACCAUUUUCUUGUUGGCCCCUCCCCUUGCGGUCGACGGUGUCGUUUUGUCCUUUGAUGUAGGUGUCGACUACCGGAGGGUCAUCGUGGGAGGAGGAGCAGGUUGAUCCGUUGUCGGAGUUGUCCGACAGCUCCAUGUGCUCCCCGGCAAGUCCCCGGAGCAAGUGUUCCUGCUCCUGGGCGUGCCUCCUCACCUUCGCCAAUGCCUCGCGCUCUGAGAGCUCGAUAGCGAGCUGGAGUGCUUUGGUGUUCUUCUGCCGCAGCCGCCAUGCAUUCGUCUCCGUCGUUGUCAGGGACCGUCGGAGAACGGACGCAAUGAGCGUGUCCUCAGGAUCGACCGGCGCACGCGAGUGCCCGGCGCCUCGCCAACGCGUCGCCCACCGUCAUGGCCUAUCUCGCAUGUUGCCACUCGCGCCAAGCUGCCCACACCUUUGACUCGAGCGUCCUCGACUGACCCAGCGCCAGCAAGGGCACAAGCACCCAACAAUGCCCGUGGACGCUCUCAGGAGGUUGAAUGGACGGGGCGGGGUGGCGUACCUGGAGUGAGGCCGCACAGGCGGCACUCUGACCGGUGUCGUGUGCUGGACGGGAGGGUCUGGCAACGUCGCCCGCACUGCGACACAGGCGAAGGGGGAUGGCACAUCAUUCGGUGAGCUCCCACCGAUGUUGCCGCCCUGAUCUAGACGGGAGCGGCGCAGAGCAAUCACUACAAGAAAUAUGUCAACUAGUGACAUUCUUUCAGUGACCCUGGAAAAAUUGGUCAUAUAUCUAUGACCAUUUCAGACCAAUUGGUCAAAAGCUGUUCGGGGGGCUCCAAACCCUAAACUAUAACGACCAUUUUGGUCAGAAAGGUCGUAAUUUCCUUACACAAAAUGGUCAUAAAGCAGAUAGCACUGGUCUGCUGCCUUAUUUCUAGCUGAUCAUGACCAAUAUAGAUGGUCAUAACCUUGUAAAUUGUGGUGGGUUGCUAUGACUAGGCACCACCUCAUCAGUUUUGCCUAUGUGUCAUGUCCAUGUGGCAGCUUUUGCCCUAGGUUGUGAAGCAACCUAUAUUUCUGUCAUUCCCAAAAUUCCCAAAAAAAUCUCAUAAAUUCUUUGGGUCAUAUCUUCAUCAAAUAUGUAAAAAUCCUUCCUUGCCUAGUUCGAAACUAAUUCAACAAUAUUCAUUUUCCUAUUCUGUUCACAAUAGCACUUUAUGAAGGAAGUGCUAUUUAUAUAUUCUUGAUCGCCCUUGGAAUUUUUGGGCACUCUUUCCUAUCCAAAUCAUUACCGCAUGAUAAAAUUCAGUUCCAUUUGCCUAGCAAAUCUUCCUCGGCAAAUUUCCAAAGUUUUUGUCCACCUAGAAGCAUUGUGAAGGAAGUACCUUUUUUAUAUAUCGAAAUGACAUGAAAUUUAUACAGUUCCUUCAUAUGCCCAAAUUAUCACCCUCCUCCAAAUUGUGGCUCAGUCAAAUCAUCUAUGUGAGCCCAGAUUCAAUUUAUAUUUUAUGGCCAAAUUGGCAUUUUGCAAAGCAAGUGUUAUAUAGACCCCUCCUAUUACCCUCAAACUUUUCGGGCACUCUUCCAUACCCAAAUCAUUGCCACAUGAUAAUAUUCAGCUCAAUUUUCCUAGUAAAUCUUUCUCAGGAAAUUUCCAAAGUUUCUACCUCGAGAGAAGCUUUGUGAAGUAAGUACUAGCUAGGCUUACCCAAAUGAUCUUAAAAUUUACCAGCGCAUGACCAUACCUAUUUAACUUACCUACAUCAAUGUUUAGCUCAUUUCAUUCAUCCAAUCUCUCUCACUAGUUUUCCCAACUUUUUGUCCAUAGAAGAGCAUUGUGAAGGAAGUACUACUUUGGCAUGUCCAAAUGGUAUCAAUUUCCUACAAUGCUUUCCUAUGCCCAAAUAACCAUCCUCCACCAAAUUUCAGCUCAAUCCAUCCAUUAUUUUGAGCCCAGCUUCAACAUUCAUAUUUUUGUCCAGCGUGGUACUUUGCAAAGCAAGUACGACCUAGGAUACUCCUUUUGAGCUAAAAAUUUGUGAAGACAUUCUUAUUAGUAGAUGAUCAUCCUCAGCCAAAACUCACGCCCAUUGGCCAUGUGCAUUUCCCGUACCGCUAAUCAAACACUUGGCUGCUUAUUCAUGUUUGAGCAUCGAUCGGUCUCCUCGUGAGAAUCUUAUGUUGUGAUUUUCUUCAUAGCGCCUACUUGGGGAGUGCCCAACCCACUAUACAUGCCUACGCUGCCCAGAACACAUGGCAACACCACGGUCACGCGGUGACCACGCGGCGGGCAUGCGAGUUUACGCGCUCUAGAGUUGGGGGCCUCGGCCACCGCCCAAACCUCAACGUAUCGCCACCAAACCAUGUAUUUAUGAUUAAAUAGGUACUUAUGUAACUAGCAAUGAUUUUUGGAAAAAAUAAAUAGCAAACUAUGAGGCAGCUGCAGUUCAAAUUUGACCCGCUUCCUACUGAAUCGGGGGGAAUUUGUCUUUUUCACCAGAGGUGGAUCAAAACUUUUGACACCCAACCAUUUUGUCAAUUGUGCAUUAUAUAUGGCCUAGUAUUUUAUAAAAUUUAUUAGGUCCAAUUUUGCAACAAACAUAUGGUAGGUCCUUCACAAGAAAACUCAUUUUGGGCACUCGGGAAAAUGGAAAAUGAAGUUUUCAUGCAAAGAAAAUGAAAACUUCCUUAGGCAACAUUGUUUGGAAUUCCAAGAUGCACCCUUUUGGACAAUAUGAGAUCAUUUGAACAAACUAUGCCAUGAAUGCGGCCAUAAGAUUGAUCAUUUGGCUUGAAAGCCAUGAAUCUUCACGCAUGAUAGCUCAUUUCUGAUAACACUUUUUUUAAAUAAUUACUGUAUUACAAAUUAAUAAUUUUUGCUGGUAAUUUGGCCACAUAUGAUGAAACAAUGCGAAGGUUUUCCAAUUUUUUGAUUUUUUGAAUUUUUUAUGCCUGUUUCAAAAUGUGGUCAAAACAGCGGGAAUGACCGUUCCUAGCUAGUGGUUGAGUCUUGGAUUUUUUUGGUGUUUCUCUGAUUAAAUAGGUACUUAUCUAACUAGAAAUGAUUUUUGGAAAAAAUAAAGAGCAAACUACAAGGCAGCUGCAGUUCAAAUUUGACCCGCUUCCAACUGAAUCGGCGGGAAUUUGUCCUUUUCACCAGAUGUGGAUCAAAACUUUUUACACCCAACCAUUUGGUCAAUUGUGCAUUAAAUAUGGCCUAGUAUUUUAGAAAAAUGAUUAGGUCCAAUUUUGCAACAAAUAUAUGGUAGGUCCUUCACAAAAAAACUCAUUUUGGCCACUCAGAAAAUGGAAAAUGGUUUUUCCAUGCACAGAAAAUGAAAACUUCCUUAGGCAACAUUGUUUGUCAUUCCAAGAUGCACCCUUGUGCACGAUAUGAGAUCAUUUGAACAAACUAUACCAUGAAUGUGGCCAUAAGAUUGAUCAUUUGGCUUGAAAGCCAUGAAUCUUCACACAUGAUAGCUCAUUUCUGAGAACACUUUUUUAAAAUAAUUACCGUAUUACAAGUUUAUUAUUUUUCCUGGAAACUUGGUCACAUAUAAUGACACAAUGCGGAGGUUUUCCAAUUUUUUGAUUUUUUUGAAUUAUUUAUGCACGUUUCAAAAUGCGGUCAAAACGCCGGGAAUGACCGUUCCUAGCUAGUGGUUGAAUCUUGUAAUUUUUUUGGUGUUUCUCUGAUUAAAUAGAUACUUAUGUACCUAGAAAUAAUUUUUGGAAAAAAUAAAGAGCAAACUACGAGGUAGACAUAGUUCAAAUUUGAUCCGCUUCCAGCUGAAUCGGCGGGAAUUUGUCUUUUUCACGAGAGGUGGAUCAAAACUUUUGACACCCAACCAUUUGAUCAAUUGUACAUUAAAUAUGGCCUAGUAUUUUAGAAAAUUGAUUUGUUACAAUUUUGCAAGAAAUAUUUGGUAGGUUCUUCACAAAAAAGUUCAUUUUGGGCACUCAAAAAAUGGAAAAUGAUUUUUUCGUGGAUCAAAAGCAUUUUACAUAAAAUCAUUUGGUCAAUUAUACAUAAAAUUUGGUCUAAUACAUAGAGUUGGUAGGUUCAUCACAACAAAACUAUUUUUUAUACUUCAACAAUGAAAAAUGCUUUUCUCUUGCAAAAGAACUUAUUUUAAUCAAUUACGACCUAUUUAUAUGGUCAUAAAGUCAUCAAGGCCUUUAUUGCAUUCUGAUUGGUCCACGAGCACCUCACGCGGAUCAUGCCCGACCAUCGUUGGAUAGGCCCGGAUCCGACGGCAGCCCUCUUCCCCCACCCCCUCUACCGCUCAUCCCUCUCAUCCCCCUCCCAAAUCGGUGUAGCUCCCUCUCCACUCGUCCAAACCCUAGUCGCGCCCUCCUUCGUGCGCCGCCGCCCCCAUCGAUUCCGCCCAACACAGCCGUCCCCCUCCACUCGCUCUCCUCCAUGAGCCGGAUCCCCACCUCCUCCGGCUCCCCUUCCACUCACUCUCCCGGAUUUCGCACACCCACAGCCGCCUCCCUCUCCCUCCCUCAGAUCGACGCCGCCAUAGCUUCCCGUCGCCGGUGGCGGCGCCCUUCCUUCCUCGCCCUCUCCUCCUUCCCUCCUCAUGGCCGCCUCCACCACGCCACAAACCCCGGCGAUGGCCUCGUGUAGAUCCCAUCCUGCUCCGCGUCGCCGCUCUCCCAGCCAUCUCUCCGUUCCCUCAUAGCCACACCUCAUCCUCCUCCCCCUCCCCCGGUCCCGUCCCCAGCCCCGCCCAGAUGGGGACGGGACUCUCGCCGCUACACGCAGACGCAGAGGAGGAGAGGGAGUCGACGAGCGAUGGUGGCUGGGACUGGCCGGGUGCUGCUGCUGCUGGCCAUGGCGGCGGCGCUCGCGGCGGCGCUCCUCUACACCACGCCCUUCUCCAAGGUGAGCGGCACCUCACGCCCCUCGAAUCUGCAUGCGGCGGUAUGGUGGCGGAGGCUGACGGGUGUUCGUUGUUUUUGCGUGCGUGCAGAGCCUCGGCGGGGAAGGGUACAGCCUGCUCCCGCACGGCCACUUCUGGAUCACCAGCCAGUGGGUCGUCGCGCUCGGCUGCGUCAGGCCCGCCGCAGGUACUCCGCCCCUUCCCCUCUCCCUCCCUUCCAUUGCUCCUCCAUCAUCCCGGCGUUGACGGUUGACCCCCCGCUUCCAUCCAUAUCUGGUGGAAAUGCACGAGAAAAAGUCAAAAAUGAUACGUGAUUGGCCUGUAUGUGUGUGUGUGUGUGUGCAGUUGAGGUGAAGGAAUAGCUGAUCAAUGCCAUCGCCGUGGGGGACUAACGGAGCUUCGUGCUCCGCCGCCCGCUCGUCGACUACGGGGACGCCAUCAUCAUGCCCGGCCUCAUCGACGUGUAAGCGCCCACACACAAUGGUGGGUCACUGAAUCAAUCAAUUACAUUUACCGGGGUGGCAGUUAACAACUCUGAGGGUUUCAUGGUGGUGUUGUACCUUCAGGCACGCGCAUGGCCUUCUAGAUCUCGGCGUGCGUCUUAUAUGUGUGUUUGAUGUUGACGUCACUUGUGGUUUUGCAGGGUUCUGAGGCUGCAGCCUGGGCACCAUCAGGGUAUGCUGUUUCCAUGUCCUGUUUCUUCAGUGCUCAAUAGUUGCUAGUGCGACUGCUACCAAUCUGUUAAGACUGGUCUUUAUGUAAUGCUAAACUAAAAUGGGUCUAGUUAUACUAAUCAUUCUAUGAAAGUUUAGUCUGAUUUGCUGGUACUCUAAUAGAUAUGCCUUCAGCUUUUGUCAUAUAAACUCUCCUGGUGGUAAAUGAUUUGGUCUGCAUUAUAAAAAUGUUUAUGAUGAUUCCCACGGAUUUUAGAAACCAGUCACAGUUCAUGCUUUAUAGUACUGUGUAGAAUUUUGUUUGCUGAUGCUCAGAAUCAUUGUUUUACAUAUGUUACUUGUGAUGUUCUGCUGGUUGAGAUGUGCAUGAUCUGGGUGAUGAAGAAAAUCGUUCGGACUCCCACUGAUUUUUCAUGAUUAUUACAACCAGAUACUUCUGACGGAUCAUGCCAUCUCUUGGACUACAUAUGUACUCCUUUAUUAUUGAGCAAAUACUUUCCUUUGAUUUUUUGCAAACCUCUUAGCAGUACUUUUUCUAUCCUCUUUUUUGUGUUCUGCUGGCUGAUGAGAUGUGCAUUACCUGGGUGAUGAAGAAAAUCGACGGGUCACGCCAUCUCCUGAAGUACAUUUGCACAUUUUUACUGCUUUAGACUGGCUGUACAUGCAUUCCUUCAUUGGUUAUGAACCUUAUUGCUCAUUGUGUUCUGUUGGGUUGAACUGCAUGAUUCCGGGUGAUGAAGAAAAUUGUUCGGAUUCCCACUGAUAUUUCAUGAUUAGUGUAACCAGCUACUUCUGAUGGAUGAAACCAUGUAUUAGUUUCAGGUGAAUCGUAGCUUUGCUAUUGCUUCAUUUCAUCUGAGACAGGCAUGAAAUUGAACUGCACUUGAUGCAGCGCCAUUAUGGUCCCUGAAAUUAGCUUCUGUUAUUGAAUUUUUUAUUUCCUCGCGUGAGAACAACAGUAUCAUCAUAUUCUACCAGGCCCUUUGUUUGUUUCUGUUAGCUUGCCUCUGUGGCUAGCACAUAUCAUAUGCGAUCCAUGUUGUCUCUUUUCCGCCCACUGAAGCUUGGAGCAAAGUGGCAUAUUACUUUUGUGAUAACUGAGAGAACUGCGAGGCUUUCUUUUCUACUUUGGCAUAUAAUAUUAGAAUUAAUACUGUUUUUAUUUGAAAUUUGUUAUUAGGCUAUUAGCGCGAAACUUUCAAGUUAUAACUAUCCUUGCAUUUCUUACUCCAAUUGUGAAAGGACUAUAUAUAGUCUGUGUGCUUCUGUGAAUAUAUUUGAGUACAUUUUUAUCAUGCUGCUAUAAUAUGUAAUGUAGUUUUCGAAGCAUGUCUGCUGUUGUAAGUUGCCACUCUGUCUUAAUGCAUAUGUUGUGGGGACUCGCUCACUGAAAAAUCUUGCAAGAAUCAUGUGAUCAUCUUUUUACGAAAAGUGGCAUAGUUUCAGUUAGUUAUGAGUUAUGACUGAAAUGAUAUGUCGAUGCCCAUAACUCUAAGUUAAGUUUGCCGGAAACCAUAGCUACGCUCUCUGUUUUAUUGAUGAAACCUUUGCACUUUGCAAAUCAGGUGGACUACAUAGCCAGCGACCAGCGAGCGCAUGGGUGGCGCAAGUGGUGACGGAGAGCGGCCGGAGACUGUAAUUGAGCUUGUGCUGGUGCUGCUGAUCCUGCUUGGAUGGGCAUGCUGCCUCUUCCAUGUGGACUACAUGACAACUAUGGUGAGCUCUCUGCUCCCUGCAUCUUAUAGUAGCUGGCCUGAGAUUAUAGUUGGGCUGGAAAUGAACUUCUUCAGUUUGAUUUGUAAGAUAUAAUACCAGUCUAAAUCAGUGGAUCAUGGGUGAUAUACUAUCUGCUUUCUUUUAGCAAAUCUGUAUUAAGUACCGAGUACUUGUAUGUACAUAGACAUUUUCAUGUCCAGAACCAUGACUGUACAUACUCGUAUGAAAAUCAUUCACAACCUUUGUUCACUAGUUCCAACUAGUAAUCGUGUAUAUAUACGUAAGCUCCAACCCUGAUGUGCUUUAGGCGUUAAAUCUGUGUGUAUAUACGAUCUUCUUGAUGCAUGUAUAACGCGACACACACAUCAGGAAAUCUGAAUAACUUUGACAUAGUUGCUUUGUUAUCUUGCACUGGGUUGAUACUUGUCAUUUUCCCUUUCCAAAUAUAUCUCAGGCUUGCUGUUAUGAGAAUGUUAUAUGCAUGGUUUCUUAUUAGAUCUAAAAUUCUGCAGCUAUUUUUCAUUGUUAGGAGAAUGUUAUAUGCACGACUUCACUUGAUUAUAUUCCUAACUUUUCUGAUUUAUAACACGCAGAUUUUGGCCUUCAUUCGUCAAAAGUUGGUGUACAAGGAACUCCAGGAGAAUAAUCCCAAAGAAAACCCUGGAGCUGGAGCUGGCCAUAUUAAUAUUUAGUUGUAUUUUAUAGUUGAAUACCUGAUUUAUACUGCCAUGAUUGUAAAGUACUUUGGUUGUCGUUUAAAAUUUUAUGUAUUAUUGGCUCUGUUUGAAUCAAGUUAUUUGUUGUGUGUUAUGUGUUAUUUGAAUCAAGUACAUCCGGCUUGACAAGUGGCACAAAUAGAGAACUGACGUGCGGCACCAAAACAGCACACUUGGGUCCCAUUUCACUAGUGGGUCCUUUAAAAUGGGAAAGAAACAAAAUAAAUCUGACAAGGGGACCUAAUUGGAUGACCUGACUAGUGGGACCUGGUUCAAAAUGGAUUGUAAAAAGGCCAAGGCCCAAAUAAGAAAUGGCAGCAAAAAGGCUAAAGGCCUAGAAAUCAAAGGCUGAAUUGUUGGGCCAGACCCAUGUAGCUAAUAAAAGCACAGGAAAAAAAUACAUUAAGAAGGCCGAAUUGUUGGGCUAGGCCCAUGUAGAAAACCGAAUUGGACCGGACUGAUUCUUGUGCCACAUCAGCUUGCCACGCUGGAUGCCUACGUGGCCUGUGGAGGCUGCUAGUGACCAAAACAAUACAGUAGGCAUAUUUUGGUCAUAAACGUCCACGACCUUCUCACAGAGAAGGUCAUUAAUUUUAGUUUACGACCGCCAGCUUUUGACCUUCUGUUUUUGGUCACAAAAAGGUCGCAAAUGAAAAAUAAUGAUCUUUCAGUGACCAAUAGUCAAGGUCACAAGUUAACAUAUUUCUUGUAGUGAAUGCGGAGAGUGAGCGGAUCGACGUCCCUCUCAUCGCCGUUGGAGCCGGAGCCGCUGCGGUCGUCGGCCAUAGAUCAGAGUGGGAAGAGGAAAGGACGAAUCGGAAAGAGGAGAGACGAAGAGAGUAGAGUGGACUAAGGUCUAUGGUUCAUCGGAUAGGAUAUACGUGGGGUUGUGAUGGGCCGGGCUGACGUGACGGACGUGCCUGGACCGCUUCAUAUUUAGGCUGGAUAUGAAGGAUGCCGGUCCGACUGAACGUUUGAGGCGUCUGUCUGGAUUAAAAAAAAUCAUAACCGAUCACUGAUCAGACAGGCCAUCCAAACAUUUGAGGAGGGUUUGUGGCGUCCCGUUGUAGAUGCUCUUAGGCCUUAAAAAAGACAAUAAAACCACGGAAGCUGGAUGGAUUGGGAACAAAAGAUUACUGCAAAAUGCAGAAGCUCCGUGCGCGCCAUAGGACAACAAUUAUGUAGAAAGGACAACAAAGCAAGAGGGCGAAAGAACAACGAGCCAAUGAAAAACGCCGUCUGUGGUGCGCUCAGGCAGAGCCGGAAACGCCGUCGGUCGCAGCCAAAGGAAUAAUCAGAAGCUCGUGCAAGGCUCCCUCCGUGAGUGAAGAACGGUUUUCAUUCCACCUCACUUCCACCUACUCCGCGGGUUCGGCCGGUCGACAUGGUGUGCCGCAUUCAUCUUUAAAAAAAUGGAAUGAUCACACACGAGCAGUUUUUCAUCACCAAGUGAAAGAAAAGCACGGCUGCGUCCUGCCUCCAUGGAUGGAUGGAUUCCCCCAAAACCGUGAAGGUUGUUGUUGAUCCACUCGAUUCAGUCAUUGCACGCUAAAGGAAACGCCAAAGCUGCCACCAAGACCGGACAGUACAACCAGUCCUCCGGGUGCCCCCACCGGUUUUACUUUUCAGAUGCCUGGACCCCUGACCGGCUGGGCCUGGGCCGGUCUACAUUUCCGCACCAAACUUUCCGGCAGUUUCUUAAUCGCUUUAUCGUGCGCCUGCAGCACACGCCGCUACAGUAGUACUUGUAGGAUGUGAUACCACACAAGAAAUCUACACCCUUGGAUCCUCACCGAAACUGCAAAAAAAGAGAGAAGGAAAACAAAUAAUUCCUCCAAAAGAAAUUCUUAAACAUUGAAGCUCUUUAACUCAAAAUGAAAUAACACUGUUCAUCCAGAAUUAAUGAAAGAAAGCUUCAGAUUUGGUGUCACCUCCAAUGUUGCUUUUCUUUUCCCGGUUAGGUUCCAUGUUCCAAUCCGCUACCAGCAAAGAGAUGUACCAUCCCCCUCCCUCUCCCUCUCCUCCCCCAUCCAGCUCAAAAAAUGUCUUGCGUUGCUUUGGCUUAAAGUUAAGGGAAGAGCAGGAUUAGCACAAGAUUAGGUCUAGAGGGUGUAUUAAAAGGCAAAGCAAAAGCUGCAGGCCACCUAAUAUUCUUCUGGGCUACUAGUAUACUGGAUGGAUGGAUCUGGGGCCUCUGCUGCCACAUCUCCAGUGCCAGUCCAAAUUAUCCAAUAAGCUUUGCAAAUUAACCUGCUGUUAGAAUAUAUACACUACACUACACUGCUCCUCUAUUGGCAGAGGGAAGCAGCAGCAGCAGUAUCUUCCCUAAAAAAAUUGAGGUGGCAGCGGUGCUAAAAUCUAAAAUUGAUUUGGAUAUUCUCAUAGGUUGUUGUUAACUAUUUGGAGCUUGUGUGUAGUUAAUGUGAGGUGUCUGAGAGGUAGCACUGGUACUGUACUUUGGUUGCUUGCUCUGUGUUUUCCGGGCGUUUGCUUGUGAGAACCGGUAAUAGGAAACUGCUAGGUAAAGGCACCCUAGUCCAAUCCAACAAGUCUAAACUUUUCUAAAUAGAAAAGGAACUUUUCUCAACAGCAACAAAAAACUGAAGUAAUUCUAAUAGCAAUAUUGUACUAAUAAAUACAACCUCCGUCCUGAAUCACUUAUCUUAAAUUUGUCAAAAUACAGAUGUACUACUCUAGUGUUAAAAAACGUCUUACAUUAUGAGACGGAAGAAGUAUCUAGUUUAGUGUUAGAUAGAUAUAUUCAUAUCUAGAUAAAUCUAAAGACAACUCUAAUUUGAAACAAAGGGAGCAUGUAUUAACAUUUGCAUAUAACCAAUUAAUGUUUCAAGAAAUGCUUAAUUUUUCGCAUCAUACUGUAAAUGUUUUCACAUACGCAAAUCAAUUAACAUUAACCUUUGAAUCACUGUAUUCCAAAUUGAGGGACGUGAAAAUUCCUGCCCAAACUGGGCGCCAGGUGUGCCCCAAUUUCACCUCAGUUUCCGCGUCGGCGGUCGUUGCCGGAUCAGAUCUCCGCGAUCCCAGACCCAGAGGCAAGCAUGUCUGAACCGAACAGCACACCGCAACCUCGACAGUGAAAGAGAUGAGUCAAUGGCGGAGGUGAAAACCCAGUAGCUGUUGAGGGACAGGCAAGUGUCACCGCACUCCUCCCGCCCUCUUUAAACGUCACCCUCACCAACCCACCCCCAACGCCAUUGCCGUUUUCACCCCCCCACCACAGCUCCACCGAGCAAGGAUUCACCACCCCCCUCCCCUACCCCCGUCGCUCCUACCACCUUCCAUCCUGAUNNNNNNNNNNNNNNNNNNNNNNNNNNNNNNNNNNNNNNNNNNNNNNNNNNNNNNNNNNNNNNNNNNNNNNNNNNNNNNNNNNNNNNNNNNNNNNNNNNNNNNNNNNNNNNNNNNNNNNNNNNNNNNNNNNNNNNNNNNNNNNNNNNNNNNNNNNNNNNNNNNNNNNNNNNNNNNNNNNNNNNNNNNNNNNNNNNNNNNNNNNNNNNNNNNNNNNNNNNNNNNNNNNNNNNNNNNNNNNNNNNNNNNNNNNNNNNNNNNNNNNNNNNNNNNNNNNNNNNNNNNNNNNNNNNNNNNNNNNNNNNNNNNNNNNNNNNNNNNNNNNNNNNNNNNNNNNNNNNNNNNNNNNNNNNNNNNNNNNNNNNNNNNNNNNNNNNNNNNNNNNNNNNNNNNNNNNNNNNNNNNNNNNNNNNNNNNNNNNNNNNNNNNNNNNNNNNNNNNNNNNNNNNNNNNNNNNNNNNNNNNNNNNNNNNNNNNNNNNNNNNNNNNNNNNNNNNNNNNNNNNNGGGAGGGGUCGGAGGAUUUGUUUGUUGGUCCGUCAUGGGGACGGGGGCGGUGGCGCCGGAGCGGCCGAAGCAGCGGCGGGGCGGGCACCUGUGGAAGCGGGCGGUGCUCCACUUCUCGCUCUGCUUCGUCAUGGGCUUCUUCACCGGCUUCGCGCCCUCCUCCUCCUCCUCCUGGAGGCCUGGCGGCGGGGGCGGCACGCCGCCGCCGAUUCUCGCGGCGGAGCAGCUCGCCGCGUCCCGCGUCGCGGGUAAUAGGGACCAGCAUAUCAGCCUGGCGCCGCCCUCGCCGGAGGGCGCGGCGGCGGCCGGCGGGGGCGGCGCGGUGGUGGACCUGGACGACGACGAGGAGAGCGGCCCGCGCCGGAUGCUGAUUGUGGUCACCACGACGCGGUCCGGGGCAGGGGAGCGGAGGCGCAGGCGGCCGGAGCUGCUGCGGCUCGCCCACACGCUGCGGCUGGUGCGCCCGCCGGUCGUCUGGGUGGUGGUGGAGCCGGCGGCCGACGCGCCCGCCACGGCCGAGGUGCUCCGGGGCACCGGGGUCAUGUACCGGCACCUGGCCUUCCGCCCCGAGGAGAACUUCACCACCGCCGCCGCCGAGGCCCACGCGCAGCGCAACGCCGCGCUCGCCCACGUCGAGAAGCACCGCCUCUCCGGCGUCGUCCACUUCGCCGACGCCGCCGGCGUCUACGACACCCACUUCUUCGAGGAGAUCCGCCAGAUCGAGUGAGUACCAAAUCUUAGUUCAUCCAUUCCCUCUGCUUCCUUCGUUCUGAGCCAAAAUCUUAAUUUCCACUAGUAGCAGAUUGCAAAUUACAAUGUGCCAAACUGACUGAUUUCGAUGCACAAAUGCUGCAACUUCUCUUCUUUUCACCGUUCUUUCAGGGUGCUGAAUCUAUAAUUUCUUCUCCUUCUUCUUCAAUUUUUAACAGCUGUAGUUAAUUAAUUUCAGAUUGUUUUAGGUGGGCACCGACUAGGGUUCCUCAUCCCUAACCUCCACUUCUCAAUUUAGUACACUACUAGUACAACUAAUUUUAAAGGUUUUGGCAGCCGUGUAGUUUGGUGCAGAGUAUAAUUGAAGGCAGCACAAGCUGUCAUUAGUGGGGGAGGAAUAAGGGUUUAGAAUAAGAUGAUUGACCCCUCACAUCAUCACCAUGAACAUUGCAAAUGCAGCUGAGAGACUGUGAUCUGAUGCAAAGGGGUCAAAUUAUUGGAUCCACCUUUACCUCUUCUUUAUUCCCUUUCCUCCAGCAUACUAUGCUUCUGCUGUUGCAGAUUUUAAAAUUUACUAACAAUCUUUUGCUUUUGAUUUUGCUUACCCCCACAACGACCAAAUUGUGUUGCAAAGUUGCAGCCACUCCGAUUAGUAUAGUUUAAUUAAGACUUUUAAACGUGGCUCGUGAGCCAUGGGCAAAGCAGAGCUGUAUAAAAAAAACAGCACUACUGAUUAGUACUUUAACAGUAGGGCUAACUACUAGCUGUUGGCUCUCGCUGACAUGCGGGGCCGCUCCGGCACUAACCUAACUAAACACACAUUGAAUGGACCUAAAGCAUGCAUUAAAUGUUGAGAUGUUGAUGCUCCUAACAUUUGGUUGGAAGAAAUUUGCUAAAAAUGUUGAGAGGUGGUAGAAGAUAGUAGUAACCGUUAGAAGCCAUGGCCAUUGAACUCCAUUAAAAGAAAUGCCCACACCUGUUGCUUUCUCUGACUGACUCCCAUGUGUGGCCAUUUGAAAUGCACAGCCAAAUUUGCCUACCGUUUUGGAGCAGAUUUUCCACAACGGUGUGACCGCCAGCUGUUCAUGGAGACUGCACAUGAGGGAUUAGAGCCUGAAUUCUUGCAAAUAAGCAAGGGAAAUUUUCUUUUAACCGACACUAGAUGCCGAUGAUUGGUGCCUAACAUGACCAUCCAUUUCCCUCGUAGCUGUCCUCCAAUAUUGUGGUUCUGGCAUCCAUCAGCAGCCACAGAAUGUGACUGGUGUGUCAACGUUUGCUUUCUCCGACCCUGUUAAAUUCCAGGUCAAACAUACCGUCUUUGUUCUAUCAAAAAGGCCUAACAUUUGACCUCCAAUUUAGCUCUUGCUCAUCCAGCCAAACCAUUUUUGUGGAGACUGUAAAUCAAAUCCUUCCAAGGCUUUUACUUCUAAAAUAGUAGCAUUCUGACUUUCAUGAGUACUUGCUUUCAUAAUAAGAAGAAAUAAAUCCUUGUUAGUAGUAGUAGUAGUACUAUGGUACUACAAAUACUACUAAUGUCAUGUGAGAGCAUGGUGUUUUUCUUUUUAAAAGGUGUUAAUAUUCAUAUUCCCAUGAAGAUGAAGAAGAAUCCUUUUGGUUUGAGGGGAACAUGAUGAGACCAAAGCACUCCUCUCUUAUCCAAGCAACCUUUUGCUGCAUCUCGCCAGCCCACAUAGUUUUUACUAUUCAUGUAGAGUUCCUCGUGAUGCGUGCACAUGUGGCCCCUUGUGUGCUUUUCUGGGGGCACCAGCUCACAACACAACAGACCUAGCUGUUUUUAGCAUCAGCCCCAAUAUGACCUGGUGUGCGUGUCCCAGAAUUUACCUGUUCAGUCACCGCAAAUGAAGUACAGUACAGUCUGGCUUUGGCAUUGGUUUUGACCAGGGUUAAAAGUCUCCCCCGUGUUUAACUUGGGAUUAGAAUUAAGAGUACUUCUAAUCCUAGAUUACUAAAAUAUACUUAAACUUUUGUACUGUUUGCCUAAUUGCCUGGACAAGUGUACUUAACCUGAAUUUAGUACAUUGUUUGCAGUAGUGUUUGACCUGACCAUACAUUGCAUUGUGAAAGUUUGUGCGCGAUGAAGUCUUGCGCUCGUUGUCAACGAUUGUCUCAGCUGUUCGUCACUCGUCGGCAUGCGUUGGCAAGUGGAUGAUUUAGUCUAUUCCCACGUAGUAUUGUGAGACAGUUGCAUGCAAUAAAUCACUCGCUUUGUAUUGUGUUCCAUGCCUAGUGUCUAGUAGCGUGGAGACGGGUGGGAGGAAGUUUUAGAAUACUAGCUGUUUUCAUGAUGCCUUCAACAAGGCAGCAUGUGGAAGGUGUGCUAAUGGAGUUGUGGCCACAUAUCUUUUCUUGUUCAAAUAUCUUAGAUUAAGAGAUCUUCUAAUUAUUUAACUCAACUUGCCCAUGCACGUUUGGUGUCCUUUGGAGCCUAAUUCUGGGCAAGGUUUAGUGUAUUAUUUUCCUUGGAUCUCUAGCCUUAAUCACUGACCAGUCAAGUUGAGGUUGAUAUAAUGGCAGCUAACUCUUGAAUUACAUGCUUGCAAGUGACUAUUGGAUGAUAUUUACUUGAUGCAUUGUAUUGAUGUUCCUUCUAAUGGUUGAAAUGGACAGGGCGUUUGGCACAUGGCCGGUGGCAACGAUGUCCGCGGGCGAGAAGAAAGUAGUGGUUGAGGGCCCACUGUGCAGCGCCUCGAAGGUAGUCGGCUGGUUCUCGAGGAACUUCAAUGAUGGCACCACCCGUUCAGUGACAUAUAACACUGAGGUUGACUUGAACCCUGCCGGUGCUGCUGGCACGCGAGCCCACACGAUCGAUGUAUCAGGGUUUGCGUUCAACAGUUCUAUUUUGUGGGACCCUGAGCGAUGGGGACGACCGACGUCAUUACCGGACACUUCACAGGUUAGUUCACUCGCAGUAACGCUGUCAACCUAAUGCUUGUUAUGCUUUGCAAAUGUACAAAACAAGCCAUUUUCAUAUAUUAAACUUGUUUUCAUUGUGAUGAAGUAUCAAGUCAAGUAAUGAUCUCUGAUUGGCACAUCACAGUUGUUGAUCAGGCCACACACAACAUUUAAGUAAUAGGACCACACAUUGCGCAACUACUUAUCUAUACCAUGACAUUCUCAAAAAAAAUAGUUGUGGAAUUUGAAGAAGAUUUGAUUAAUUGAGGGACUGGGUCUUGGCUAAAAUAGUUUUAGUUUGUCCAUUUCCUGAUCUCAUGACAGCCAAAUAAUAAACCUCCGAAACUAGCGAGCCCACUAGGAUCCUCAGAAGCGUGGACUGCAUGUCCAGCUUAAAGCAGAUCCAAAUAAUUUUCAGCUUGAAUGGAAUUUUAUCAUACCUUUUUAAACUCAAAAUUUAACAAGUCAAUCUGAUAAAAAAAUCUUAUCCUGUCAAUUGGUGGAAGGCCACUUGCAGUUCGAAAAAAACUAUGCUGUCCACUAUUUAGUUAAAAAUGACAUCCUUGUAGUUGACUGACCUGGUACUUUUCAAGGUAAUAAGUAUCGUUAGCUGAAUGGUUAAGUAAUGUUGUGGGUUACGAUUUCUGCUCAUGAUCUCCUCAGCCCUGAGAUAUUUUCCUAUCUGAAUUCACUGCCCGGCUUACACAAUUAUCAACUUCCCUUUCGAAGUUGACUGACCUGGCGUUACACAAUGAUCAACUUCCCUUCAACGCAACAUCGAGGGGAACAGGUGGCAAUUAUUUGUCCCACCAUCACUUUCAUGCACUCCUUUUUCUUAAACUUGUGAUCUCAGUUUUUGUUCGUCUCACCGACUCACCUACUUAGCGCGUCAUCAUCCUAGAGCUGCAUCCCACUAGUGGUACUGAUAGGUACAUGCGCCACUACAACCAACCGAAGCACUGAUCGCUGAUUGAAACAAGAUAACGGAGCGCUUCGGCCCCUCUGCGAAUCCCUCACUCCAUCUGUGUCACACUGCUGGGUAGUUGCACCAGAAAGACCCAAAUUUCCAACCACCACAAUGCAUUGGGCCAUAUCCAAGAAGCUAAUAAUUUCCUUAGAACUGAACUGCUACCAAAUGGUCCAGUGCUUAUCUUUCUUUUGGUUACUCAACAGGACUGAUUCUCCCAGCUAAUAAUUCACACUACUCUCUUCCCGUGGCAUGAUUGGUUGCAGGACUCGAUCAAGUUUGUGCAAGAGGUGGUGCUGGAGGACAGGACAAAGCUGAAGGGGAUCCCCUCCGACUGCUCCCAGAUCAUGGUGUGGCAGUAUGAUGUGCCUAGUAGCCCCAACACCCCCAUAACCAAAACCAAAACCGCCACCCCGAAAACCCACCAUAGAAGAAGGUAGGGAGGAGGGCGAUGGGACUGAACAGGAGCAAAAUCAUCCGCGGAGAAGAACAGUGUCGGAAAUGGAGUUUAUGUAAGUAAAUGUGGCGAAAACAAAAAGGAAAAGGAGGAAGGUUGCUGCUUACACUGAGUUUUUUUUUUCUUUCUCUCAAUUUUGUCCUUUUUUCCCUUGGGGGGUCAUGAAUUGUCCUCUGGAAAUGGAAAUCGACCCCCGGGCAAUAGUAUUAUUUAUUCAGAUUAUUUUACCUGUGAUUCUUUAACCCCGACCGCCCCUCCUCGCUCCUCCGGGUGAUCUCUCGCGGAUUCUCCGUCUGUGGAGUGCAAGCGUGCAAAUAAGCUGUGUAGAAAGUUUGAGAAAUCUUGCAGAUGAAAUGAUGAAUUCACAGCAUGGGCUUCCAGCAAAUUUCAGCAUAAAUGAACUGUUUCGCCUGUUUUUCUUUGCUGUUGUUCAGAUUUGCUGUAAAAUCCAGAACAAUUUAGUUUCUUGUUUGGGAGAAAACAGCUGUGCAUCGUACCACGUGGCAGUGGCAGUGGCAGCGAGAUCUGCGGCGAUGAACUGAAAUGAAUGCGGCCAG